UUCUCUGCCAAAGUUGAGCACGUGAAGCUUGCAGCUCCCACUACAUCGCUCUGACCAAGAAGGGUAAAAGAAUAGCAAAGAAACAGCACUAACAAAGUUUAGACCCAUAAAUUUUGAAGGUCUAGCUACCAUAUUAUUACCCACAAGGGUAAAGGAACAGUACCACUGCUGGAUAAUUGGAAAGUCCCUGUGUGUCAACCUCUGUGCUUCGUGGCAAGGUAGACUAGCAAACAUGCCCAACCUUUACUCACAUUCGAGAAAACACUCCCAAUAAGAUUGCUUGCUCCAAAAUCGAAGAGGCACCGUCCUCCGAAUCUCGAGAGCCAGACUCCCAACAUGACUACUUUCUUAAAAAUCGAAGAGAGGGUAAAGGAACAGUACCAUUGCUGGAUAAUUGGAAAGUCCCUGUGUGUCAACCUCUGUGCUUCGUGGCAAGGUAGACUAGCAAACAUGCCCAACCUUUACUCACAUUCGAGAAAACACUCCCAACAAGAUUGCUUGCUCCAAAAUCGAAGAGGCACCGCCCUCCGAAUCUCGAGAGCCAGACUCCCAACAUGAUUACUUUCUCAAAAAUCGAAGAGACACUGCUCCCCGAAUCUCGAGAGCCAGACCCCCAGCAUGAUUGCUUUCUCAAAAAUCGAUGAGGCAUCGUUCUCCGAAUCAAUCGAAGAGGCGCUCGCUUUCUCAAAAGCUGGGCUGCUCAGAGACCACGAGGGCCGAUCUCAGAAAUCGAAGAGGCACCUACUUUUCUAGCCUUGUCAGCACCUGUCACACGCACACUCAGCUUUGCAGAAAUUAUGGGCAUUCUGUCGAAGACUUCUGGUGAAGUAGAAAGCACAUGAAUCUUACUGUUCAAUCACCCACUUCCCACACGCAACAAUAGCUCAUGGGUACCACAGAUAACUUUGCCAAAGUUCUCUGCCAAAGUUGAGCACGUGAAGCUUGCAGCUCCCACUACAUCGCUCUGACCAAGAAAGGUAAAAGAAUAGCAAAGAAACAGCACUAACAAAGUUUAGACACAUAAAUUUUGAAGGUCUAGCUACCAUAUUAUUACCCACAAGGGUAAAGGAACAGUACCACUGCUGGAUAAUUGGAAAGUCCCUGUGUGUCAACCUCUGUGCUUCGUGGCAAGGUAGACUAGCAAACAUGCCCAACCUUUACUCACAUUCGAGAAAACACUCCCAACAAGAUUGCUUGCUCCAAAAUCGAAGAGGCACCGUCCUCCGAAUCUCGAGAGCCAGACUCCCAACAUGACUACUUUCUCAAAAUCGAAGAGAGGGUAAAGGAACAGUACCAUUGCUGGAUAAUUGGAAAGUCCCUGUGUGUCAACCUUUGUGCUUCGUGGCAAGGUAGACUAGCAAACAUGCCCAACCUUUACUCACAUUCGAGACAACACUCCCAACAAGAUUGCUUGCUCCAAAAUCGAAGAGGCACCGCCCUCCGAAUCUCGAGAGCCAGACUCCCAACAUGAUUACUUCCUCAAAAAUCGAAGAGACACUGCUCUCCGAAUCUCGAGAGUCAGACCCCCAGCAUGAUUGCUUUCUCAAAAAUCGAAGAGGCAUCGUUCUCCGAAUCUCGAGAGCCAGAUACCACAGACCACUUUUUCAAAGUGCUCUGACAGAGUUAAAACAUGUGAAACUGGCAGCUCCCACUACCGUGCUAUGACCAAGCAGGGUAAAGGAAUAGCAUUACUACUUGUUGUUAGGGAGACUCCUAUAUAUGUCGACCUCCAUCCCCAACGGACAGGCAGACCUGCAAAAAUGCUCAACCCUUCAUCAUAUCUGAGAGGGCACUCCCAACGAAGCCUUUCGAAAUAUUCAGCUUUCUUUCCCCCCGAUAAUACCUCUGCAAACAAGCUAUACUAGAGCAAGAAUAUCUCAUAUCAUCAGGGUUAAAAGCAAGAGUAUCCCAUAUCAUGCUUUUUCCCUGUCUUUUUUCUUUUGGCCUUGUUUUUACCUGCAAGACAAGGAGAAAGAGAGCAAUCAGUCAGCACUUGGAAUCAAGCUUCCAGCCAGGAACUGACUGCCUGGAACCCCUUACCUGAUUACUUACCUGGCAUUGCUCUCGAGUACUCAUCUUCAACAUCUUAUGUUUCCAGGGAAGAUUCCGCAUCUGCUUGAGGAACAGAUAGGGCAAGUGCGAAGGAUACAAGGAAGCAUGUGGAGACAAGCGUAACAGCACACGUGCCGAUACAUCCAUUACUCUGUCAAAAGCAAAAGUAUCCCAUAUCAGCAGGGUGGAACGUACUCUAGAUUUGAUGGACUUGUUUUGACCCUCAAAUUCUUCAGUCGGCCUUAUACUCUGGAGGAAACCAGAAAACCCUCCAGCUCAGUUCAAGAAUAAGCCUGUGGAAAGUUACUUCUUCAAAAGCAAAAGUAUCUCAUAUCAUCUCUUCUCAUUUUUCUUCUCUUUAUCCUUCAUGCUGCUGCAAGAUGGGGAGAAGGUGAACAAUCAGUCGGAGCUCUGAUUGCUUACCUUGUCUGUCACCUCUUUCAGCAGACCCCCUAGCUCGGCGACUUGGGGGACUCCUACUACAUGGUUUGUAUCGCGCUUGACCAAGCCUGAAACUACAAGUAAGCUUCAAGUGAAAUUGAUACAUUACCUUGUGCAUCUCCACCAGUUAAAGAUACCACCCCUGGAUGGAGGAAGAGUACUUCCAGAGAAGAUGCCACAUCUACCUAUGAGACAGAUAAGGCAAGUCAAGACGACACCACACUCCGAUACUUAGAAGUUUCGUGAUUACGAGAUCAUUCUCCCACAAUAUUUCCUAAUGUCAUUUGUACUAAAUCAUUCACUUGUACUCACUAAAGGAGAGCUUGAACCUAUGUACUUGUGUAAACCCUUCACAAUUAAUGAGAACUCUUCUAUUCCGUGGACGUAGCCAAUCUGGGUGAACCACGUACAUCUUGUGUUUGCUUUCCUAUCUCUAUCCAUUUAUAUACUUAUCCACACUAAUGACCGGAGCAAUCUAGCGAAGAUCACAAAAAGCGACCGUUUUCGCUACCUAGGAUCUAUCUUGCAAGAGAACGGAGAAUUAGAUGGAGAUCUCAACCAUAGAAUACGAGCUGGAUGGAAAGAGUGCAUCCGGCGUGUUGUGUGACCGUCGUAGGCCACUGAAGCUCAAGGGAAAAUUUUAUAGGACGGCAAUAAGGCCAGCGAUGUUGUAUGGCACAGAAUGUUGGGUGGUGAAGCAUCAACACGUACACAAAAUGGGUGUAGCGGAGAUGAGGAUGCUUCGUGGGAUGUGUGGGCACACGAGAAAGGAUAAGAUUGGGAAUGAGGAUAUCCGAGGUAAAGUAGGAGUAGCCGAAAUUGUAGGAAAGAUGAGAGAAAAUCGGCUCUGGUGAUUUGGACAUGUGCAAAGAAGGCCGACUGACGCUCCGGUUCGAAGAUGUGACUACGGGACAGAGGUUCAGGGCCGAAGGGGUAGAGGAAGACCUAGGAAAACUUUGGAAGUGACUCUAAGAAAAGACUUAGAGUACUUGGAUCUAACGGAGGACAUGACACAAAACCGAGCGCAAUGGCGUUCUAGGAUUCAUAUAGCCGACCCCACUUAGUGGGAAAAGGCUUUGUUGUUGUUGUUGUUGUUGUUGUUGUUGUUGUUGUUGUUGUUGUUGUAUUGAGUGUUUCCUACAUACAUUCUCCAUUUAUAUAUUCAUAACAAAGAAGAACAUCAUAAAUAGUUGGUUAAUUAUUUUGUUAUUAAGUUUUGUAUUUUUUGACAUUUGAACGAGGUUAGAAAUGUAUGCAUUUUUUAUUAAGUUCCGUCACCAAAACUCAGGGCCUUCGUUUCCCAGUGGCAUUUUUUAUCAUGUGGUACUUUCAUGCAUUUUGUUUAUCCUCAUAAAAUAAUACAUUGUCUCCAUGAAAACUAAUUUAUCAAUUGUGUCAAUAAAUUAGAGGCAAUACAACCCACUAUGAUGCAGUGGUGAAUUCAGCAACAUCUGGAGUACUUGCAGCCAGAUUGAAAUCAGAUCGGUGCGAAACGAUGCCUUGGAAAGACAGUGAAGGUAGAGCUGAAUGGAACGAGGGUCCCUGUAAAGUUAUUUCUUGAUUAUGUUGACCCUACUUACAAUAUGAUCAAUUAUUAUCACAAUAUGUUUGUUGAUUAAGAUCAAGAUGCUUAACUAUUAUUAUUAUUGUUCUUUUAUUUUCUUCAAACAAUAUGUUGUCUAAAUUGUAAAUUCAAUGGAUUCAUAACUUUUUUUUCAUCAGCAAUGUCCAAUUUUGUUGUUUCUUCUUUUCCUUUAUUUUAAACUCAAUCAUUCAAUUUCAAAUGAAGCAACCAUAUUUUACUUUUGUAUAAUAAAGGCAUGAGGUUUACAUAGAAGGAAUGUUGAGAAUCGAACCACUUAAGCUACAAGUCAAUUUAUGUGAGCAAAUUAUGAUUAACGAUAACACGGAGUGUGAUUAACAAUGAUGGUAGAACACUAUGUAAUCAAUAUAAAAAUAUUUAUGAAACCGAACCAAAAUAAUCCAUACUAUUUAUGGAAGAGAGCAAAACAAACAUUAUUUAUUGAACUACAACAAAAUAACGCACACUAUUUCUGAAGUGAACCACUAUUUCUUGAACUACAAACAAAAUAACCCACACUAUUUCUGAAGUGAACCACUAUUUUUUGAACUACAACAAAAUAACCCACAGGUUGUAAACAGUGGGUAUGUUUGCCCACAUGUAUACAGUAAAGAUUCAUAUGCUAAAUAGUGAAGUUUUUGUAAGUUUUCAAGGUAGUUGCUCUAUAAAUAUGGCACUACGAGUGUUCAAACACACGGAUACAAAAGCAAUAAGAGAAGAAAGAUAAGUUAGAAUAUUUUCUGCAUUCUCCUAUUUCUCUUUUACCUACAAUCAUUCUGUUAUAGUUAAUAAACAAAACAGUGUGAUAUAUUACACCCGCUUAGAUAUCGCUCUUAGUAAAGGUUAUUUCUCUAACUUUUACCUAUUUAUAACACGUUAUCAACACGGCUCUCUAACCCUAAAACAUUUCUCAUUUCUCUUGGCCGAAAGAAAAAAAGUUGUUUCCUUCAAGGAUUUUACUAUUCUUCUUCUUCCCCUGCCUCACCUGUUGGAUAUACCCUCGUGAAGAAUUGUUCGCACCAUGCCUGCUUUUAGUUCUCAACAUAACAGUUACUUAUAUCUUUGAUUUCUUGUUUGGUGCAGUUCCUAAUUUCUAACCCAAUGUUUAUUUAUCUUUGUUGCGAUCAAAGAUGAUGCGGUAUCAUCGCCCAUCUUGGACUGCAAAUUUAAUUUUACUGCAAAUUUUAGGUGGAGCGGUAUAAUCGUCCACCCUACCCUGCAUAUUUAAAUUUGUCUGCUCUACAUAUUUAAAUUUCUACUGCUUGAGUGGUGCGGAACAAUCGCCCAUCAUAUACUAUUCAAUGAGAAUGGUACGGUACAAUCGCCCUCCUCAUUCAUCAUGUAAAUCUUAAGCCUAAAGUUUCGAGUGCUUAUCAUUUUGGCCUGAAGAUCAAAAUGAAAAAUUUGUAAGAACCAAAAGUUCUAACAAUAUAUUCCUCCAGAAUACACAUUAUUGCAAGUUCUUACACACCUCAAUUUUCUUUCAGAAAAGAAAAUGGCGAACUUGGCAAAAUUUGAUUUUGUUGCCCUGGAUAUUACUAGGAAGAAUUACCUUACCUGGGUAAUGGAUGCCAAGAUUCAUUUGGAGGCAACGAAUCUUGGAAAAACUAUUAAGGAGGAUAAUGGUGUAUCCUCUCAAGAUCGGGCAAAGGUCAUGAUCUUUAUUCCUCGCCACCUUGAUGAGGGACUGAAGAACGAGUACCUCACGGUUGAAGAUCCACUAACCCUCUGGAAGGCACUGAAAAAUAGAUACAAUCACCAGAAAAUGGUGAUUCUACCGAAGGCUCGUUAUGAGUGGACUCAUCUAAGGAUCUAGGAUUUUAAGAUAGCGGCUGAGUACAAUUCUGCUAUGUUCAGAAUUACCUCCCAGUUGAAGCUCUGUGGAGAAACCAUUACUGAGGAAGACAUGCUGGAACAUAUUUUUAGCACUUUUCAUGCCUCCAACGUGCUCAUGCAGCAACAGUAUAGAGAGCGAUGCUUGACUUAGUACAACCAGUUGAUAUCUGUGUUCCUUGUAGCUGAGCAAAACAAUGAGCUUUUGAUGAAGAAUCAUCAGUCCUGGCUUACUGGAUCAGCAUCAUUCCCAGAAGUGAAUGUUGCUUCCCAUGAAGGGAAUACCACAUCCUCUCAUAACAAUAAUUACAAACGAGGACGUGGCCACAAGCGAGGUCGAAAGGGCAAGAACCAUGGUGUCCAGUUUCACAACUAGGUUCCAAGGCAUAAUAUAGACCCGAGCUUUAAAAAUGCAAAUCGCUAGAAAGGCAAAGCUCAUAUGAACACUCCUAGAAAUCUUGAAGGAGUUUUCCAUAGGUAUGGUGGCAAUGGGCACUGGGCAUGUACAUGUCGUACCCCAAAACAUCUGGUGGAUCUGUAUCAAGCCUCCCUCAAGGAGAAGGGUGUCGAAACCAAUUUCCUCGACCAGGCUAAACAGAUGGAUAUACCUGAUCCAGUGUUCGAUUUAUCAGGACAAUUGAACACAACCCACCUGGAUGUUUCAUACUUCAUUAUUGAAAGAGGGAAUGAAGUGUUUGGGUCCGAUUAAAUCAUUUAUGUUUGAUGUACUCUUGUUAUUUGCACUAGUGAUUUAAUGCUUGAACUUUCAAUUCAAUAAAAGUAGUAUUCCAAUAUGAAUAAACUGUUUUUAAUUGUAAUUUCCAUUACUCAGAGAUCAUGGAUAAAAAUUAUGGUUAUUCUCAAAACAAGAGCAAUAGUGGAGAUUUUUGUCUUGCAGACAGCGCAACUACGUAUACAAUACUUCGACAUCGAAAGUAUUUCUCAAACUUGAUACUUGCAAAAGUAAAGGUAACAACAAUAUCGUUGUACGCUACUCGAUCCAUUCAAAAUUUGUUGAGUUUUAAAGACAUACGUCUAAAUGGAUACCACAUUGAAACAAAAAAUGCAGAAAAUGUGGAAUAUCUAUGCAUUACCUCCAAUGAUACCCAGAAGCGUAUAUUGGAGAAGUUGUAUGGUUUAUCGAGUGAAUUGUAUUAUACAUAUAUAAAGACAAUUGAGGCAUAUACUAUCAUGAACCAGAAGUUCAUUGAUUCAAAUUUAUAUGCUUUGGCAUGACCAUCUGGGUCAUCCAGGAUCUACCAUGAUGCGUAGAAUCAUUACCAACUCUAAUGGACAUCUAUUAUUGAGCAGACACAUUGAUGUCUUAAAUGAUAACCCUUGCAAGGCUUGUUCCCAAGGGAAGUUGGUAAUUAGACCAUCACAACUACAGGUUGAUGCUAAAUCCCCAUCAUUUUUGCAAAAAAUUCAAGAGGAUGUCUGUGGGCCUAUUCAACCACCUUGUGGACCAUUUCGAUAUUUUUUGGUUUUGGUUGAUGCAACUACCCGAUGGCCACAUGUUUGCCUAUUGUCUACUCAAAAUGUAGCGUUUGCAAGAUUUCUUGCUCAGAUAAUUAAGUUGCGAGCACAAUUCCCAGAUUAUCCUAUUAAGUCAAUCCGACUUGAUAACGUUUGUGAAUUUACAUCUCAAACCCUUGAUGAUUACUGCAUGACACUGGGCAUUGAUGUUGAACACUCUAUUCCUCGUGUCCAUACUCAAAAUGGCUUAGCAGAGGCAUUUAUCAAGCGGCUUCAAUUAAUAGCUCGCACUCUACUCAUGAAAACAAAAUUGCCAGUCUUUACAUGGGGACAUGCCAUUUUACAUGUUGCAUCAUUGGUUCGGUUAAGACCUAUAGCCAACCACCAAUACUUAUCAAUACAACUCGUGUUUGGGCAUCAGCCAAACAUUUCACAUUUACGGGUUUUUGGUUGUGUUGUUUAUGUGCCUAUUGCACCGCCACAACGCACUAGAAUAGAACCUCAGCGCAGACUGGGAAUUUAUGUGGGUUUUGAUUCACCAUCUAUCAUUAGAUAUUUGGAACCCUUAACAGGUGAUAUGUUUACAGCUCGUUUUGCUGAUUGUCACUUUGUUGAGACAGUCUUCCCGUUGUUAGAGGGAGAAAAGACUGUUCCAGAAGAACGGCAAGAGCUGACAUGGGUUGUUCCCACUUUAUCUCAUUUUGAUCCACGAAGCACUCAAUGUGAAGAUGAAGUGAAAAGGAUUGUUCAUCUUCAAAGUAUUGUUAAUCAAAUGCCAGAUGCAUUUAAUGAUGCUUCGAAAGUGACAAAGUCACAUUCACCAGCUGCAAAUACACCUGUAAGAAUUGAUGUCGCUGUUGGACAAAAUAAAGUGGUAGUGAAUGAUUCAUCUGGUGCACGCCUAAAGCGUGGUAGACCACCAGAUUCAAAAGAUUUAACCCCUCGAAAGGGAAAGAUGAGGGCACAACUGAAUCCAUAUGAAAUCAUUCAUGAAAAGAAAGCGAAUGAUAAAUCCACAAUUCAUGAUUCUAAAUUUUCUGAAAAAGAAAAUGUCCUUGAUGAGACAUAUGUCCCUGAAGAGACAGAAGUACAUGAAAGUAAAGAAAUCUCCAUAAAUUAUGCAUGUACUAAUGAAUUAUGGGAUUGAAAUGAAGUAAUCAUCAACGAUAUGUUCGCUUUCGCAGUAGCCACUAAAAUCAUAUUAAGCGAUGACAUUGAGCCCCGCUCUGUUGAUGAAUGCAAACAGAGACAUGAUUGGCCUAAAUGGAAAGAUGCAAUCCAAGCAGAAUUAAAUUCAUUGGAAAGGCGAAGUGUUUUUGGACCAGUAGUCCAAACCCCGCCUGGUGUGAACCCCGUAUGUUACAAAUGGGUAUUCACAAGGAAACGCAACGAGAAAAACGAGAUUGCAAGAUAUAAAGCAAGGCUCGUUGCACAAGGUUUUUCACAAAGACCUGGAAUUAAUUAUGAAAAGACAUACUCUCCUGUAAUGGACGCAAUUACGUUCCGUUACUUAAUAAGUUUAGUGGUUUCAGAGAAACUUGAUAUGCGACUUAUGGAUGUCAUUACUGCGUAUCUAUAUGGAGAAUUAGAUACUAACAUAUAUAUAAAAGUCCCAUAAGGACUUAAGUUGCAUUAAACAACUAACAAACCACGAAGUAUGUUCUCAAUCAAAUUAAGGCGAUCGUUAUAUGCGCUAAAACAAUCUGGGUGAAUGUGGUAUAAUCGUCUCAGUGAGUAUUUGAUCAAAGAAGGAUAUGCCAACAAUAUCAUAUGCCCUUGUGUGUUCAUUAAGAAAUCAAAUACUGGCUUCGUUAUAGUGGCAGUAUAUGUUGAUGAUAUAAACCUAGUUGGAACUCCUAAAGGGCUCAAUAAAACUGAUGAGUAUCUAAAAAGCGAAUUUGAAAUGAAAAACCUUGGGAAAACAAAAUAUUGUCUCGGCCUGCAGAUCGAGCAUUGUGCUAUUGAAAUUUUGGUCCAUCAAUCAGCUUACAUUGAAAAAAUACUGAAGCGAUUUGGCAUGGACAAGGCUUAUCCACUUAGCACCCCAAUGGUCAUUCGUUCUUGGGACAUUAAGAAAGAUCCUUUCCGUCCAAAAAAAAAAGAUGAUGAACUAGUCCUUGGUCCAAAAGUACCAUAUUUGAGUGCAAUAGGUGCUUUAUUGUAUUUAGCACAAUGUACUAGACCAGAUAUAGCUCUACUCCAACAAUUCGUCAUUGGAAGGGAGUCAAAGAUGUUCUACGAUACCUUCAUUCGUAGGACAACAGACAUGGGUCUUUUCUACUUAGACAAGUCCACAAUUGACCAGAUCCUUGUUGGAUACGCAGAUGCUAGUUUUCUCUCCGAUCCGCAUAAAGCCCGCUCACAAACUGGAUAUGUGUUCAUUAAUGGAGAUACAUCAAUUUCAUGGCGCUCAACGAAGCAAACAUUAGUUGCUACAUCUUCCAAUCACUUGGAAAUAAUUGUUUUACAUGAAGCAAGUCGUGAAUGUUCUUGGUUAAGAUCAAUGAUCCACCACAUCUGGAAUUCAUGUGGUCUACCUUCAAAGACAGACACUCCAACUGUUAUUCGUGAAGAUAAUGCAGUCUGUGUUGCCCAGAUGAAGGAAGGAUUCAUCAAGGGCGAUAAAACUAAACACAUAUCUCCAAGGUUUUUCAGUGCACAUGAGCUUGAGAAGGCUAAAGUUAUUGAAGUCAGACAAAUCCGUUCCAAUGAAAAUUUGGCAAACUUGUUCACCAAAUCUCUACCAAAGUGCACAUUUCAGAAGUUAGUGCAGGGAAUCGGAUUAUUUCGGCUUACAAAUUUGAAGAAUGUGGAAUCAAGGGAGAUACAAUUCAGGGGAGCAUCCAUGAUACAUGCAUGUUGUACUAUUUUUCCUUCAAUUAGGAUUUUUCCCACUGGGUUUUUCCUAUCAAGGUUUUAACGCGGCAACAUAAACAUGCUUAACACCAUAUAUCAACAAUCAGAGUAAAGUUGUACUAUUUUUCCUUCGCUAUGGUUUUUUCCCACUGGGUUUUUCCAAGCAAGGUUUUAACAAGGCAACUUGUGUUGAUAUGUGGGCAUCCAAGGGAGAGUGUUGUAAAGAGUGGGUAUGUUUGCCCACAUGUAUACAGUAAAGAUUCAUAUGUUGAAUAAUGAAGUUUUUGUAAGUUUUCAAGGUAGUUGCUCUAUAAAUGGAGCACUACGAGUGUUCAAAACACACGGAUACAAAAGCAAUAAGAGAAGAAAGAUAAGUUAGAAUAUUUUCUGCAUUCUCCUAUUUCUCUUUUACUUACAAUCAUUCUGUUAUAGUUAAUAAACAAAACAGUGUGAUAUAUUACACCCUCUUCGAUCUCGCUCUUAGCAAAGGUUAUUUAUCUAACUUUUGUCUAUUUAUAACACCACACUAUUUUUAAAACAAUAGUAUAAUCACCCACACUAUUUCUGAAAGUGAAUCAAAAUAACCUACACUAUUUCUGGAACUACAACAUAAUAAUCCACACUAUUUAUGUAUCUAUAGCAUAUAACCCACACUAUUUAUCAAAGUGAACCAAAAUAACCCACAUUAUUUCUAGAACUACAAUGCAAUAACCCACACUAUUUCUAAAAAUAAACCAAAAUAACAUAUACUAUUGCUAGAACUACAACAUAAUAUUUCACACUAUUUCUAAAACUACAGUAUAAUCACACACAUUAUUUUUAAAAGUGAACCAAAAUAACUUACAGUAUUUAUGAAACUACAACAUAAUAACCCACAAUAUUUAUGGAUCUACAGUAUAAUAACACACAUUAUUUCUGAAAGUGAAUCAAAAUAACCCACAUUAUUUCUGGAACUACAAUGUAAUAACCCACACUAUUUCUAAAGUAAACCAAAUAAUAUACACUAUUACUAGAACUACAACAUAAUAAUCCACACUAUUCUGAAACUACAGUAUAAUCACCCACACUAUUUUUGAAAGUGAACCAAAAUAACUUACAUUAUUUCUGAAACUACUGCAUAAUAACCUACACUUUUUCUAGAAUUACAACAUAAUAACCCAAAAUCUUUUUUAAAGUGAACCAAAAUAAUCUACAUUAUUUCUGAAACUACAACAUAAAAACCCACACUUUUUCUGGAAUUACUACAUAUAAACCCACACUAUUUCUGAAACUACAACAUAAUAACCACACUAUUUGUGGAAAGUGAACCAAAAUACCCAUACUAUUUUUAAAACUACAACAUAAUAACCCACACUAUUUCUGAAAUUGAUCCAAAAUAACUCACACUAUUUAUUAAAGGUAACAAAAUAAACACCAUUUAUGGAAUUAAAACUAAAUAACUCAAACUAAUUCUAGUUUUGAACAAAAAAUAACGCACACUAUUUCUGGAACUAUAGCAAAAUUAUACAUUAUUUAUGAAACUGAAAAAAAACACACUUUCUCAUGGUUAUAAAAGAUGUUAGGUGCUAAUCAGGUGACAAAAUGAGGUUUAGGAGGAUUAGGCAGAUGUAAAGUAAACUUAUUAUCUAUCUUUGGUGCCUUGGUAAUUUUCAUAGAAUAAGAUGAAAGUUUAAAUAAUUACAACUCCGUAAUACUUUACAAAAUAUUUUUCAGAAAUCAUAUGAAUUUAUUGUAAAUUUAAAACAAAAUAAAGUGUAAAACAUGUAACAAAAAAAAAGCAUUUGAAUGUGACAAAAAAAAAAAAGCAUUUCAACAACAAUUUUAAAAAAAAUUAAAUAAAAAAUGGAGGGAGCACUGAGAUGCGACGCCUGGAGGGAGGUGGGGCCCCACACCAUUUCUUAAGCAUGUUGGGAUGCUAGCUGUUCAAAUUACAUUGGAAAGCGAAUUACUAAAACAUUAAAUAUGAAAGAGUGAUAGCAAAUGGUAGACCUGGCAGUUUUUGACACGACACGGUGACACGACACGAAAACGACACGAAAAUAACGGGUUUCGGGUCAACACGAUAACUUAUCGGGUCACUAUCGGGUGACCCGUUAAGAACCCGUUAAUAACGGGUUCUUAACAGGUAUACACGUGGGUAACACGUGGGUAACCCGUUUCGACCCGUUAAGAAAAAAAAUAUUUUAAUCAUUUUAAAGUUUAAUUACUAAAAGAUUUAUUAUAAAAUACAAUAAUCAUAUUAAUAUAUACAAUAUAUUCUAUAUUAAAUAUAUAGUUUUGUAUUAUUGUUCUAUAUAAAUUAUAAAAAAAUAAAAAAAGUUUUAGUCAUUAUUUAUUUUUAUUAUGAGAGUUCCUUAUUAUUAUUACUAGGAUAAAUUUUACAUAACAUAUUCUUGUCCAAAAUUAAAAUAUACUAGUAUAGUAUUUGUAUAUGCAAGAAUUAAGAAGACAUACAUACAAGUAUGAAAAAUAUGAAAGAAUAUAUAAACACUCGUGAUUUAUCAUUAUUCCUUCACGAAUAGAUAAUUGUUACACUUAUAUUAUCGUUUAGAUUUUUAAAAUCCUUCAAACCCUCAUGAAUAAUGUUUUUUAUUUGAGGGCAAAAUUAAUAAAAUUAAUAAUAAUUAUUGUAGAAGUGUAAAAAAUGUAAAAAAUAUAUAUACAAUCACUCAUAUAUAAAAAAUGUAAAUACUUUAAAUUAAAGAUCAAAUUUAUUCAUUACAUUCUUAUAGGGUCGAGGAGUGUAUAUGUACAAAAUCAUCAAAAUCGGAGCUAAAAUAACCGUUAAAUUGUGAUUUUUCGUUUAUAACCGUCGAACACUUUUGUUCCGUUACGUAAUCUCUGAAUGUUUGUUUUUUACAAUUUUUUACUUUUGCAAUCUCAGAAUGUGUACAAAUAAGUUUGACGGUUGGAUCGUUGAAAAAAGUUUCGUAGAAUGCAUAUUGCAUCAAAACGGUAGAUAAAACAAACACUUAGAGUUAAUAUUAUACUUCUAUUAAGUAUAAAAUAAGUUUUUGUGGUAUCCACUAGUGUAAAUACUUUAAAUUAAAGAUCAAAUUUAUUUAUUACAUUCUUAUAGGGUCGAGGAGUGUAUCUGUAAAGAAUCAUCAAAAUCGGAGCUAAAAUAACCGUUAAAUUGUGAUUUUUGGUUUAUAAUCGUUGAUAACUUUUGUUCCGUUACGUAAUCUCUGAAUGUUUGUUUUUUACGAUUUUUUACGUAUGCAAUCUUGGAACGCGUACAAAUAAGUUUGAUGGUUGGAUCGUUAAAAAAAGUUUCGUAGAAUGCAUAUUGCGUCAAAAUAGUAGAUUAAACAAACACUUAAAGUUAAUAUUAUACUUCUAUUAAGUAUAAAAAAAGAUUUUGCGGUAUCCACUAGUGUAAAUACUUUAAAUUAAAGAUCAAAUUUAUUCAUUACAUUCUUAUAGGGUUGAGGAGUGUAUUUGUAAAAAAUCAUCAAAAUCGGAGCUAAAAUAACCGUUAAAUUGUGAUUUUUCGUUUAUAACCGUCGAAAACUUUUGUUCCGUUACGUAAUCUCUGAAUGUUUGUUUUUUACAAUUUUUUAUGUAUGCGAUCUCGGAAUGUGUACAAAUAAGUUUGACGGUUGGAUCGUUGAAAAAAGUUUCGUAGAAUGCAUAUUGCGUCAAAACAGUAGAUUAAACAAACACUUAAGAGUUAAUAUUAUACUUCUAUCAAGUAUAAAAUAAGUUUUUGUGGUAUCCACUAGUGUAAAUACUUUAAAUUAAAGAUCAAAUUUAUUCAUUACAUUCUUAUAGGGUCGAGGAGUGUAUCUGUAAAAAAUCAUCAAAAUCGGAGCUAAAAUAACCGUUAAAUUGUGAUUUUUCAUUUAUAACCGUCGAAAACUUUUGUUCCGUUAUGUAAUCUCUGAAUCUUUAUUUUUUAUGAUUUUUUACGUAUGCAACCUCGGAAUGUGUACAAAUAAUUUUGACGGUUGGAUUGUUGAAAAAAGUUUCGUAGAAUGCAUUUUGCGUCAAAACGGUGGAUUAAACAAACACUUAAGAGUUAAUAUUAUACUUCUAUUAAGUAUAAAAUAAGUUUUUGUGGUAUCCACUAGUGUAAAUACUUUAAAUUAAAGAUCAAAUUUAUUUAUUACAUUCAUAUAGGGUCGAGGAGUGUAUCUGUAAAAAAUCAUCAAAAUCGGAGCUAAAAUAACCGUUAAAUUGUGAUUUUUUGUUUAUAACCGUUGAUAACUUUUGUUCUGUUACGUAAUCUCUGAAUGUUUUUUUUUUACGAUUUUUUACGUAUGCAAUCUUGGAACGCGUACAAAUAAGUUUGAUGGUUGGAUCGUUAAAAAAAGUUUCGUAGAAUGCAUAUUGCGUCAAAAUAGUAGAUUAAACAAACACUUAAAGUUAAUAUUAUACUUCUAUUAAGUAUAAAAAAAGAUUUUGCGGUAUCCACUAGUGUAAAUAAUUUAAAUUAAAGAUCAAAUUUAUUCAUUACAUUCUUAUAGGAUUGAGGAGUGUAUUUGUAAAAAAUCAUCAAAAUCGGAGCUAAAAUAACCGUUAAAUUGUGAUUUUUGGUUUAUAACCAUCGAAAACUUUUGUUCCGUUACGUAAUCUCUAAAUGUUUGUUUUUUACGAUUUUUUAUGUAUGCGAUCUCGGAAUGUGUACAAAUAAGUUUGACGGUUGGAUCGUUGAAAAAAGUUUCGUAGAAUGCAUAUUGCGUCAAAACAGUAGAUUAAACAAAAACUUAGAGUUAAUAUUAUACUUCUAUUAAGUAUAAAAUAAGUUUUUGUGGUAUUUACUAGUUUAAAUACUUUAAAUUAAAGAUCAAAUUUAUUCAUUACAUUCUUAUAGGGUCGAGGAGUGUAUCUGUAAAAAAAUCAUCAAAAUCGGAGCUAAAAUAACCGUUAAAUUGUGAUUUUUCGUUUAUAACCGUCGAAAACUUUUGUUCCGUUAUGUAAUCUCUGAAUGUUUGUUUUUUACGAUUUUUUAUGUAUGCGAUCUCGGAAUGUGUACAAAUAAGUUUGACGGUUUGAUUGUUGAAAAAAGUUUCGUAGAAUGCAUAUUGCGUCAAAACAGUAGAUUAAACAAACACUUAGAGUUAAUAUUAUACUUCUAUUAAGUAUAAAAUAAGUUUUUGUGGUAUCUACUAGUGUAAAUACUUUAAAUUAAAGAUCAAAUUUAUUCAUUACAUUCUUAUAGGGUCGAGGAGUGUAUCUAUAAAAAAUCAUGAAAAUCAGAGCUAAAAUAACCGUUAAAUUGUGAUUUUUUGUUUAUAACCGUCGAAAACUUUUGUUCCGUUACGUAAUCUCUGAAUGUUUGUUUUUUACGAUUUUUUAUGUAUGCGAUCUCCGAAUUUGUACAAAUAAGUUUGACGGUUGGAUCGUUGAAAAAAGUUUCGUAGAAUGCAUAUUGCGUCAAAACAAUAGAUUAAACAAACACUUAAAGUUAAUAUUAUACUUCUAUUAAGUAUAAAAUAAGUUUUUGUGGUAUCUACUAGUGUAAAUACUUUAAAUUAAAGAUCAAAUUUAUUCAUUACAUUCUUAUAGGGUCGAGGAGUGUAUAUGUAAAAAAAUCAUCAAAAUCGGAGCUAAAAUAACCGUUAAAUUGUGAUUUUUCGUUUAUAAUCGUCGAUAACUUUUGUUCCAUUACGUAAUAUUUGAAUGUUUGUUUUUUUACAAUUUUUUACGUAUGCAAUCUUGGAAUGUGUACAAAUAAGUUUGACGGUUGGAUCGUUGAAAAAAACUUGUCAUUACGAGUGUUUAUAUAUUUUUUCUAUAUUUUUUUACACUUCUACAUUAAUUAAAAAACUAUUAAAGACUUUAGGUAAGCGAAAAUAUACUUAAAACAAAAUUGCGUUUUUAUGUUUUGGAUGUGAUAAUAUGAAAUGUAUAUACUUAUUUAGUAUUAUGUUUUUCAUUUGAUUAUUUAUUGGUUUAAAAUAUAUUUUCCUUAACGGGUAACGGGUCGGGUCAUAUUACCUGUUAAUAUUAUCGGGUCGAUUUCGGGUCGGGUCAUUUUACCCGUUUAUUUUAACGGGUGUUACACGACACGACCCGUUAAGAUAUCGGGUAUGACACGAAAACGACACGAACACGGAAAACACGACACGAAUGCCAUGUCUAGCAAAUGGGAUGGAAAUGAAGACAGAAACUUUUAUUCUUCCUCUCUUUCCGUUAGCGGUAAUUAUCGAAAGUUAUAUUUAACUGUGUUGGGCUUUGUAUUCCAGCCCGGGUAUAAUUUUAUGGCCUUUGUCCUUAUGGUUAAAUUUUAGAAGCUUUUGAUUAAACAAUAUUUUAAGCUGGUUUUUGGUUAAAAUUGUCUUAUUCCAAGCUAUUUUCAUUAAAAUUUUCUAAAAUAAACUACAAAUAACGAGACUUUUUAAAAUAAAAUCCCACACUUGGCUCCUCUAACAAGUGAUUAAGUUGUGGAUGAUAAUAGCAAUGUUAGACCACUGACCGUCUUUCUGAAAUUUAAUUGUCUUUAAACAAAUGUUCUCUCUCCUUUUUGUGUGUGCUUAGCUUGUUUUGUAAUUGACAAGUCGUAUUUUGUUGUGUCGUGCGCUAAAUGAGCUAGAAACUUGUGUCAUGCAGCAAUUCAUUUUACACAUCUUCAGCUCGUAUUUUGUGUGUCACUUUUGAAGGUCGAGCCUACUCAAAUUUGCAUGAAAUGACACCAUUUGGCGCUGAAAGUUGGCCAAUUCUAUAAUCACAUAAUUAUGUCCUACUGCCACAAAUUUUUAUUCAUUUUGUCACUUACUAGAAGCAGUGCCCUCAACCAUCAAUUCGUUUUCAAUGGCAAAGCAUUCUUUAGAGCAGUAAAUCAACAAUCCCAAUUUGUUUUGAGUCAAGGUGUCAGUGAUUAGAUUUGUGUGAUCACCAAUAACAAGCUAUUACUAUGAGAGCAAAUUUUCGCCUUAGAUUGAAUUGACGAAAACCCACACACACAAGAAAAGAGACAAACGUAGCUAGACUAACACUGGUGUGUAAGGCAUAAAGACUGUAUGAAGUUAUAAAAGUGUGAGUGAGAAUUCUUAAUUACCGGAAUAAAAUGGUUGGCAUUCACUAUUUAUAGAGAAUUGAGGAGUUAACCCUAGCGUCCAGUUUCGUUCUCUACACACCGAGGAAUAUUCCUUUGAGAUUCUUGGAAUAUGCUUUGUAAAGUCUAGCCAUGCUAAGAGAUUGAUAAGCAAGCCCAUUACAUAUCAGGGUGAUCUGCAUAAGUCAAGUGGCGAUCGACAUGGACUGUUUGCGAUGAAUUGGACUGGGGGGCCUGUUGAUUUUGGGCUUCUAGGACCUUCGUAGAGAAUGUGACAUGUUACUCCGUUGGAGUUCAACUAAUGGUCUGCGUAUUCCGUCAAGGACAAAGUAGAUAUAUUUGAUAAGUUGUACACAUGAUGUGUUCCUAUUGGUCGGAAUUUAUUCCCACAAUCAUGUUGUUACAUGUGAGAGUAAUUUGAAGUUGGACAUACCAAAAUACAAAGAUGUUGGUGUGUGAGAGUAAGUUGAGAUUAUCAAGUAAGUGGAGUCACCUGCCUCACUGAAGUUUUCCUACCUUAGCACAUACGGGUGACAACAAUGAACCAAAUGAAAUCGGUUUGUCAGGACAAUUUAAAUAGCAGCAGCCAAAACCACACCAAUUCCAUCUCCUUUCGUAGAUAACUUGAUUGAAUUUAACUUUUGGGAGGCGUUUAAUUCACCGGACUAGGACUUGAUUAGGCUAUUCACCAAUUCUAACUUGGAUUAACCAUGGGUCUAAUUAACAAUUGGGUAAGUUGGAAUUAUACCUUUUCUAUGUGGGCUUAUUUUAGAUCAUUUAACAUGAAAGGACUAAAUAGAACCAACCUAACCCAAAUCAAUCAGUUAAUUAGUCCAAGCCUUUGGAGUAUUUUGUAGUAAACUAAUUUGGAGAGUUCUAGAGUGACUUAAUUUGAUUGCGUAAUGGUUGUGAAAAAAGGAAUUAAUGCCGUUAUAUACUUUAAACUGCCUUUUUGCUCUUAUAGUUGGACCUCGUUUUCAUCCCUAAUUUGAAGAGACCUCUUACUUAAAUAUAUACAUUACAAACUUUUUUUCUUGAGAUUAUAUUGUCAAAUCAUUAUUUAACUGUAAAUUUGAACAACACAUUUAGACAAAAAUCAAAUGAAUUAAUGAAAAAAAAAUCUCACAAUUGUGACAACUUGAGUUAUCUCAUUGCAAUAGGUAAAUACUGAGAGAAAAUAAAAUGCAAAAGGAUUAAUGUUUUGGACGAGUGGUGUGUUCAACAGUACUUGGUAGGUCACUAAGAGUAAGCUCAGACACAGUUGGUAGAAGAUCUUUCUGCUGGUACUUACUGUUCAUAUAAUGCGCGCACUCAAACUCCAGAAACACCUGACGCCCCGUCUGCCCGGCCCCUACAACAAAUUGGCCAUACUACCACGAGAUGAAGACAUGUAUGUAAAACCAUAAAUUAUUGCAAAAUUUUAGAAGAAGAUAAAAGAUAAAUCAAGACAAAAGAGAAAUGCAAAGUUGAGGAGGAAGGAGGUCAGAAAUCAUUGCGAGUUUUCGGGUGCAAGGACGAAUAUAUGUAAAAGCUGAAAUACUUGUAGGCUGUGUAUAGUUGCAUAUAGUACCUUUGCUUAGAUGAAUGAGAAAAUUUGUGGCUCUAGGCAAGUUAGCUGUAGCAAUAUUUACUAUUGGUACUGUUUAUAUUAAACUGAUUGACAUCAGAUACUAUUCCUUGAUGCUUUGGCUUAAAGGAAAGGAGAAACAGAAAGAAAUAUGUGCGCGUGUUGUAUAUGUAGUGCAAAAAAUGUCUUCUCUUAUCAUACAACCUAGCAACGUAAGCAUCCUAUGUUAACUGUCAGCAGUGUGGAACUUGAUUGGUUUAUAGGUUGUGAGAUAAAGUUACAUACGAAUUAUAUUUAGAAGGAAAAAAAUUCUGUUGGGAUUCUAUUCUAUAUAGCCUUCUAUAUAUUACAAUGUCAGAGCUAACAUAAUCAAUAAUUCAUAUUCACAGUUGACAACUUUACAUUGUCAAGUCGUCUUUCAACUUAAAGUGUGUAGUAGAGUUUUAGAGUUCUAACACAUAUAGACUUAAAAGGAAGAUUAACUCGAUACAUAAAUCUAAAGUAACUAGUUAGAUAUAGACAAAACAUUCUAAUAAGUAACUGACGUGGCUUUGAUUCGUAGUGGUAGUCAUGGUUUAGGGUUAUAGGUUUACAUUAGGGUUUUGAUUAUUGCGGGUUGUACGAACUUGGCUUUGAGUCUUGCUUAUAUGGUGGGAGUAUGAUUCUCUCCUCUUUUUUUUCUCCUUCCCUUCUAUUUGAACGGUUAUGGUUAAACCACGUCAAUAUCUUAUAUUAAUUUUAGGGACACUUUGGAUGCGGUCCCUAGCUAUCAAUAUUCUUUGAUUGAAACCUGGUUAGUUUUUAGUUUUUUAUUGAGGUCUCUGACAUUAAUGUAAUAAUGUAAGUUACUAUAUUUUUUUAAUUAAAAAUUAAAAAUUGAAAAUUGUAAUUGUUUAUAUUAAUGAGAUUUUAAAUAAAACCCAUAAUUUAUGGGAUUAAAAAUAAUAAAAUAUAAAUUAUUCUCUCUAUUAUAUUGUGUGUGUGUAUAGAUAUACAUAUAUGUAUGGGUACAUUAACCAAAAUUAACAAAACAAAAGUUAUUGUACCAAAACAUGGAUACAUUCUCAAAUCAACGAAAAAUAAUGUACUCAUAUAAGUUUAAACAUAGAUUAAAAAAUUUGAAUGGAUUUUAUAUUAAAAAAUGGUACAUUUUACAUAUAACAAAUUGAUAUAUUUGAGAAUGGGUACAUUUAAGAUUAAAAAAAUUGAAAAAUUAUAUGAAUGGGUACAUUUAAGAUUAAAAAAUUGAGAAUCUUUUUAUAUAUAAAAAAACUAAUAGGUACAAACUUAAUUUAAUUUAAUUUUUUUAUUAUUUUGGAAAUGUUUGAAUUGAAAAUUAAUUAGAAGUUUAAUAGAGGUGUGAGUAUUAAACCCUAAAUUAAUUACUAAUUUUUAUAUUAAAAAAUUAUAUAAUAAACAUGUAAAUUCAUUAUCACAUUAAUACUAGGGACUUGAAUCAAAAUUUGAGAAGUAAUAAGGUGUUAGUCAAUGAACAGUAAAAACUAAGGACUGGAUACUAAUUUUCCCUUAAUUUUAUAUAAAAAGAGAAAGACAAAAGAUAGAAUGUGAGAGGAUGUGAGAGAAAUGGAUGAAAAGAGGAGGAGAGAAAAUUCUAGUCCUAUAUGGUGUGACAUGGGCUUUCCUUUUUCGAGUUUAUUACUUAGUGUCUGUAGACGUCUUGUGGGGUCACAGUUUUUCUUAUGCAAUAUUGUUUCUUCUAACAAAAAUUAAAAUAUUAGCUCUCGUUACAGAAACUCUAGCAUAGUCUUCAAGUUUAUUUUCGACAUAAACCUUAACUUCGAUAAAACAUUGUAUCUAUACUGAGAAUAAUAUAUUUUUGUUGGACUUACAUCGCUAGACGAAUACUAUUGUUUAUGAUGAAUCUAAACAUCACAUGUUAGGUUAGGAUCAACAUGAUCAAUGGAUCGGAUCCACAAUACGAAAACAUAUGAACUCAUGUUGUCGGAUAAAAGAACAUUUCCUCAAGCAUGUAUUAUUUAUUAUUUAAAAUUAUAAUUUGGUAGUGAACCAAAGGUAAUCUGGUAGAGAAAAUGGUUUCCCUACACUAUUUUUCUAUAUUUUUGUUAUUUCUGACAUUUAAAUUGAAUAACGCUAGUAAAAACAAAAAACAAAAAAAAAUAAAUAACUUUGUGAGAAUCAGGAAGAAUGGUGGGCAUAAACUUUUUCUCCUUAAUUAAUUUCACAACAAGACAAAGAUACACUUCCAAAACACAACCAUGCUUUUGAAUUAUCAUCAAUGUUAUCUUUAAAGUUUAAAGAAGCACCGACCUUUUCCACAUCUCUUUGAUCUCUCUCUCUCUCUCUCUCUCUCUCUCUCUAGUAUCUUUUUUUUCUUGCAACUGCCAGGUAAGACUUUGCUGAAAGACACAGUGAAGAGGGAGUGAGAACAAGAGUUUGCUUCAAAGCUAGAAUUGAUGGGGGCGUCAACUUGCAUUACUUUUAAUGGUGCAAUUCUACUACUUUCCAACUAUUGAUCUCCUUUUGAACUACACAACUCCUAUUAAUUGUCUACCACUUAACAAGCAAAAAAGCUGCUGGCCUCACACAACCCACAAACACAAAUUAAACCCAAAACCCCCAAACACUCAGAUUGAAAAUCAUCAAAACUAUAUAUCGAAAUUCCAAUGAUUUUUAUACAAUUAAGGGUUACAACUCUUAAUUAUAGAUAGACAUGAAGAAAUUAAGAUGGUGAGGCAAGGAAGAGGAGGAAGAGAAGAAGAAAUAAUGGGUUCCAGAUGCCAAGACUGUGGGAAUCAAUCAAAGAAGGAGUGUGUGUACAUGAGAUGCAGGACUUGCUGUAAGAGCAAAGGGUUUCACUGCCAAACUCACUUCAAAAGUACUUGGGUUCCUGUCCACAGAAGGCGCCACGCUCAUCACCAACAGCUUCCUUCUAUUGAUCCACAGCACCCACCUCACCUUCAUCAAGGGCACAACUACAACCCUAGGAGGACAGCAGCUGGACACGUCAUCACCAAUUCCUCUUCAUCUGGUACUUGUAUUACUAUUUAAUUCAUAUGUAUAGAUCAUGAUUUUUUCUUGAGGAGGUUGACGAAUGUGAUCUCCGUGUACUAACCCUAACAGUGUUCUUUCCCUUUACUCUUAUACUAGCUAGUACUAUACCACUGUUUAGGAAUAUUGUAAUUCUUUCUUCAGACAAACACAUCGAUAUAAUUUUUCCUUGAUUCUUUGUAUAAAAUGAACAUCAAUUUUAAUAUAAAUAUUAUUUUUCAUCUUGCUAAUAUGGGUUGUGUAUUUUAGGGCAAAAUCAACAGGUUAACAAUUUUCCAGCAGAAGUGAAUUCCAUGGCCAAUUUUCGCUGUGUUCGAGUGCGCUCCGUGGAGGAUACGGUCAAUCAGCAGGCUUAUCAGACAAGUAUGGUAAUCGGGGGGCAUGUAUUCAAAGGUAUACUUUAUGAUCAAGGCCCUGAUUACACCACUGCAGCUGGCCAAAGUUCCAGCUCCCAGCAUGUAAUGAAUAAGCAAACUAGUAAUUUUAUUAAUGCUACUGCUUCUGCUUCAAAUAUUACUGCUUCCACUCCAUCAGCUGCUGCAGAUCAUCAAGUGCCACAUCAUCAUCAACUUCCUUCUUCUUAUCCGUUGAUUCCUUUUAAUGCAUUCAUGCCUGGUACGCAAUUUUUCCUUUAACCCAAAAUAAUGAUGAGCCUUAACUAGGAUCUCUGUAAUUGGUUCUUGUAUUUAAAAAAUAAGGAUACAUGAUUAAUUAUGUAAUAAUAAUACUUUUCAUACGAUCAUCCUAACCAUUUUUAUUUAUACAGUAAAGCCUCUAUAUAUUCAUAAUGUUUGGUCAAAUCAAUUUUAUAACUUUUUGGAGGUUAUUACUUAAUAGAGGUGUAGCUAAAAAGUUUAAUUUUACUUGGUUUUUGUUAACGAAAUUUGUAUGGAUACAAAGAGCUACUAAUGGAACACGUCAAUUUCCAAGAUGUAACAUUGGAAAAAGAAUGACACCCAAUCUUAGAAAUCUAUUGCAUAUAUGUAUGUAGUACUCUCUUUAAUGUUUCUCUAUAAACAUGCUUGAGAAGCUGAGAACUUUAUGGUGUCACCAAGAACUUGUCCAUGUUGAUGGGCAUUACGUACCAGCAAGCUCAAAGGUGUGAUAUCAACUCUAAAAAAUAAAUUUGUCUCAAACAAUUAUACAAUUUUUUUUUAGUUCAUCUUAAACUUUUAUUCGUGACAUGUCAUAUUUUUGUACUUACUGACAAUAAUUAUUAUAUGGAAGUGAGUUUUCUUAAUACAGGACCUAGAAAAAUUAUUACUUAUUAUAAUGUGGAGUUUAUUCCUAUAUAUAACUGGUCUAAAUUUUUUAAACUAAAUUUGCAAACCAAAGGAUGUGGUUGUAGAUGAUUGGAUUACUAAUUAAGUGUCGAUUAACACACUUGUUUUUUAUUGGUAACACAUCAUUUAGUUUGCAAUUUGAUUUAAAAUAUUUGGUCUCCCUAACAUUACCCGUAUACUAUAUAUAUGUUCCACCAAAUAUUGGAGUGUAAAUAAUGAAGGAGACCAAAGAUCAAAUCCCCUCCUUAUUAAGUUAUAUAAAUAGCAAGAUACAUAGUAUGUGUCAUUGUAGAUUUAUGUACAGCACAUUCAUAUAUACCAAAGUAAGAAACACAUAAAUUAAAAAAAUGAAGAAGCUAGAUGAGCUUUAAUUAAUUAAUUACAUAUACUUAUGUUUGUUUCAAAAUUCAAUGUUUACAUUAUGUGAUGGUGUUCUCUGUGAUAUUCUCUCUGUGAAAUGUUGUUGUAUGUAUAUACAAGAAAAUUUUGAAAUUUGUCUUCUUGCAUAGUUUUUUAUGGUUAAUUCUCAUCUUCAAGGCUAAUAUACUUGUAAAGUAUAAUUGUUUAUGAACUUCGAAACCACUUUUCUCCAGCAUUUCCGUUUCUUUGCCGGUUUGAUGCAAUGUCUGGAGCAGUGAAGCAUGUUUUUGUUUUAUAAAAAUCUCAAGUACUUUGCAUGUGCAUCAAACUACAUAUAUUUACAAUUAACCAAAACAUCCAAGAAAAUGUAUACAUACAGAGACACGAUCUCAGAGGCCUGAAGCAGUGAAGCAUGGCCCAUAUAGAAUUCAAGGAAUUGCUGCUCAUCAAAAGCUGGUUUUGUUUAUUUUAAUAAUUUGGAUCGAUAUUAUACAAAAUUCAGAAACGUUAAUUGUUAGUCAUUUUGCACAUAAUGUUUGUUAUUUUUCUUGAAAAAACGUUUUUUUUUUGCUAGAAAAUAAAAUUUAUUUAUUGAUAAAACAUGUGUCUACAAGUUUCAAUAUCUCUAUAAAGUUUCUAACAAAAAAAAUAUAUAUCUCCAUAAAGUGUAGCACUAACAUGCAUACUUAAUAAUUAUUCAAAGUGGGUAUCAUAUAAUUAUAUUCUAAUUUUUUCACAGUUAGGGGAAUCAUAAGGUUUGGAUAUUUUAUUAUUAAAAGUACCAAAAAAAAAAAACUCAUAUAAUUGGAGCAUCUUUUUGUGAACUGAAACUUUAAGCACUAAUUAAUUAAACAAAUCCCCAUGCCUAAUUUUUUUUUUAAUCUUUUAUGGUAAAAAGACAUUCACACAUUUAUUAUAUACAGGAAAAGAUAUAUAUAUACACUUCUAAAUGCCACUAGCUCUGGAAUAUAUCCUUAGUGCUGGAAAAAGAUAGAGACAUUGCAGGAGUAUAAACGAUAAAAGUUAUUUUUUAUCAUUGUAGUGUAUUUUCGUAGUGUAGGAAUCCAUACUGGAUUACUUGCCAAUUGUAGUCAUAUGAAAUUGAAAAAGUUGGACAAAAGGCUUCAAUUCGAAAACAUGUUGGCAAGUUUGGAUGGAGGAAGGAGGGAAAAAAAAAACAAAUAUAUGCAUGAGGUACGGCAAUCUUUAUAGCUUUCGAUUAAAAGGGUUUGUAAAGAACAAUGCUUGUCUAUUCAAAGAUGAGUAGGAACUUCUACUCAAAACUCUUCUUGUUCAAAUCACAGAGCUUUGUGCUUAUGAUCAGAACUGUUUAUAUUAUAAAUCACAUUGUAAAGAUCAUUUAUGUAAAAAAUGAAUAAAACUAAGGUUGUUUAGUUAAUUUAUUCUAGCAAAUACAUAGACGGUUUAUAAUGCUUUUACCAAUUCCAUCCAUUUUUUUUUUUACAGUUCGAUGACUAAACAACCUUAGUUUUAGUUGAUUUUUUACAAGGGGGAUAUUUAUAGAGUGAUUUAUAAUAUGAACGGUUCUGAUUAUAAAAAUAGAGUUCUAUAAAUCGACAACGAAUAAUUUUGAGUAAGAACUUAUGCUUUGAGUAGCCAAUUGUUCGUUUGUAAAUUAUGAUUGUUUAUUUUUAUUCUUUUAUUCUUUUUUAGGUGUUAAUAAACUUUGUCAUCCUGAAAGCAAAUGAUACAUUGAAAUGCGUCAUGAACCAUAUGCAAGCACCAAAUGAACUAAAUUACCAACCAAAAGACGCUUGAAAGCAUAUGAUAUAUUGCUCUUAUUCUUUAAUUUUACAUACACAUGGAGGAGAAACUAUCAUUUUGUUUAGUAUAGGGGAUUGAGUUUGAAUGGAUAACAUUCUAAAUUCAAGACAUAUUGAAGGUAGAUGAGAAUGAUUCUUCAUUUUGAGAGGAGACAUGAAGAAAACUUCUCCCUUCCAAUCCUCCCGAAUGAUUGGAAUGGAUAAGUUUUUUUCUUGACUAAUCAUUAUUCUACCUCUAAGUUGGUCACAGUUUCAUUUCUUCUUUAAAACAUAUCUUGAAUUAGUAUCUUAUCUAUCCCAAUUCAAUCAUGUAUACCAAACGAGUCCCAUGAGAAGUGAUAAAUGCUGGAUACGGCUUCUCUUUUAACCCAAUUUCCUCCUAAUCUAUCUAAUUAAUCUGUUUUUAAUGACUACUGACUAACCUAGCUAGAUGAACAUAUAUUAAAAGACGUUUUUUAAUUUCCUUCAUGUAAAUAGUAGAUUUUCACAAUGAAAAAUUGUAUAUAAAUAUGUGUAUAUAUAUUAAUGUACUGUUUUUUCAAUGAAAAACCAUAUAUUACAGAGAGGCUGCUUUAAUCUGUGCUUCAAUUAGAAGUAUAGAAAAAUGUUUGACCUUGUUAAUUAAACUACCAAAGUCUUUCAUAAAUUAUGUUGGAAAACAUCAGCAUAAAGUUGUAAAUCCACAAACUAGUUAGCAUAUCCUUUUUUAAAGGUCUCAUAUUUAUAUAAACACUGUAUACAUGAUCAUUAAGAUAUUCUUAUCUCUACUAGUAGCUACUGUGGAAUAAAACCUAAUUAAUUACAAAACAGAAUGUUAAGCUUUGCAAUUUCAACGAAUAAUAUGAAUAUUUCUGUAACCAAAACCUAGAAAUGACAUAUAUAAGUAAAAUAUAAAUACAAACCAUUCAAGUGGUGCUGUACAUGUACGAUGAUCAAUUUGCAUACCCUGUCAUGGUUUUUUGCACUGCCGGCGACAAUCGAGCCAACAAAACAGAUUGUGAGCUUAAUUUAGGUUUUACAAGAUCUUGAAUCAAAACCUCCAACUCCCAUCCCCGAUUUGCUUUUAGCUAAUUUAUGUCGGAUGGGUUCAUUUCUGACAGUUUAAUGGGAUGAGUUAAAAGAUUUUGAAAGAUUUUGAGUUAACAAUUCUAGAGUAGUAUGCAAUGUUUGAACUUUAUCCUAGCUAUGCAUAUAAUACCAUGAAGAAGUACCCAUCGUUCGUAAAUUGCGAAACAGAUUUUCAUAUUUUAUUUUAUUGAUUAAGCAAAUUUCACCUCCUUUUGCCAAUUAUAUGUGGCUUUAUCCUGACUCCUCUUUUAUUUAGUUAUUAGAUUAUUUAGACCAUCUCCAAUCCUUGGGCUAAAAGCCAAAUUUUUUAGCCCGAAAAAUUUGGCUUUUAGCCCAGAAACAUCUUUUCUGCUCCAACCCUUCUACCCUAAAAUUUUAGCCCUGAAUUAUUAAAGAAUGAAUUUAGGCUAAUUUUUUUCUUAAAUAAAUAUGUAGAUUAUUGUAAAUUAAUUUUAUGAACAUUUUAAUCUAAAAAAAAUUAAAUUCCGAUAAACAUUUGGCAUUUAGCCCGGGGGGAAAGCUGGGGGGAAUUUGGCCUAGAAAUAACAUUUGGCAUUUAGCCUAAAAUUUUAGCAUGGGUUGGAGAGUGUUUGGGGGGGGGUAAUUUGGCUUUUAGCCCAGGUUUGGAGAUGGUCUUAAGAGCUUAGUAUGGUUACGUAGUUCAUAUAUGAUCAAAUAUUAUAUAUUUUUUCUUUUUGGUUGCAUAUCUGAUCGUUAAUGAUAAAUGUAUUAAGUAAAUGCAUGUAUUGUUGUCAUUCUCGCAAAUUGGAUAGCAGAUUUGAAUUUUUCGAAUGGUAAAAAAAACCACAAGCAUGCAUUUCACAUACUAAGGGCCAGUUUGGGCUUUUUUGUUUUUUAUAAGAAAAAAAAACUGGGUAUAUUAUCUUUUAAGCACAAUCAACUGUAAAAUCAAAUAUAUGUUGCGGUCUCUUGCUAUUCGAGAUUUGGGUAUUAGAUGGCUUCCGUGGGCUCUUGCAAAAUCUUUGAGUUGUGAAACUGGAAUAAUCCAUGAACACGAGCACUCGAGAAAGACGAUCGCCAUGGUAAACAUUCGAUGAGGAAUGUGGUUGUUAGGAAUUUUUGUUGGGAAAAAGUCAUAAUACACAUAAUUUGAGGUUUACAGAAAUGAUCAUUUUGAGUAACGACACAACGAUGACAUAAUGAUAAUACAACAAUGAUAUAAUAAUGAAAUAAUAAACACUGAUCAUUUCUGCAACAUAAUGUUAAAAUAUGUUUAUUGUGGUAAUUGCCCCUUUUUUUAUAUUAAUUUUAGAGUUUAUUUUUGCAAGGCAAAAGUGAACUAAAAAUGAUAAAAAAAUUUGGGUUUCAAAAGUUUGUGUUUUAGUCCGGCAAUGCACCGAACCCUUUACUAUUUUCAUAUUACUUAGGACAUGACAAGUCAAUACAACUUAGUCCUGAAGCUAGUCCACUUCGUGGCGAUAUGCCGUAACAAACAAAGCGUAAAAGCCCAAGUAACCGUACACUUUGAUGAAGAACUUAUUUUUAUGAAUAAUAGUAUAUAGUAUACAUAGUGUGUGAUUUAAAAUUUAAAAAAAUAAAUUAAAUUAAUGUCAAUUUACAUAAAAAAUUAGUGGAAUGGAAGUUUUUUUUUUUUUUUUGACAAACGAUAUUAUCUACACAAAAGGGAAUGGGUGUGUUUCGUCUCACAAUGGACUAGCAAUAAUGUGGUUCAAAUUCGUCUUUGGUGAGAAUUGAACCUAAGACAUUCUCACUUACAAGUGAAAAGGAAUACCACUAAACCGUAGUACUAAGUGAGUAAUGGAUUGGAAGUUAGAAAAAGUAGAAAAAAGUUGAAGAUGAAAGAGAGAAAGAGAGAAGAGUUUAGGGCAUUGACAGGAUGACAUAGCUGUGAGGUUCAAGAAAAAAAAAAAGCAAAAACUUGUUUUGCGAAAUUACUUUAAUGCUCACAUUUUUGUCUUUUUAAGUUUUUUUUUUAUUUUUUUUAUUUUUUUUUCAAUUAUGUAUAAAAGGAUAUAUAGUAGUAAUUCCAUUGGUUUGGUUCCCAAACAAGGUUCUAUUAAUACGUAGUUUAGAUAAUUCGAAGUUUACAUAAAUGAUAAUUUUUCUGUAACGACAACAUAUUAAUCAUAUAAUUGAAGACAUAACGACAACACAACAAUGAUAUAACGAUAACAUAAUAAACAUUAAUUAUUUCUGCAACAAAAUGACAAAAUAUGUUUAUUGUGGCUAAGUGCCCUUUUUUUAAAUUUAUUAAAUUUUAUAUUUUAUUUAUUUAUUAAGGCAAAAGUGAACUAAAAAUGAUAAAAAUUUGGAUCUCAAUAGUUUGUGGUUUAGUUCGGCAAUGCACCAUACCUUUACUUUUACUAUAUUACUUAGUCCAUGACAAGUUAAUACAACUUAGUUCUUAAGUUAGUCCAUUCGAGACAAUAUGAUGUAACAAACAAAGCAUAAAAGACCAAGUAACCGUAUAUUUUGAUGACAAAUUUAGUUUUAUGAAUACUAAAUGUAGCAUACACACUCCGUCUGUGAUUUUUUUUUUUUUAAAUUAAAUUAAAUUUAUGUCAUUUAUGUAAAAUACUAGUGGAUUGGAAGUUAGAAAAAAGUGGAAAAAGUAGAUGUGGGUGCAGGAGAGAGAGAGAGAAGAGAGAGUUAGAUAAGGAUAUUUGAAUGACAUGGUUAUGAGGUUCAGAAAUAAACAGCAAAAACUUGUUUUGCAGAAUUACUUUUAACUCACAUUUUUGUCUUUUUUGAUAUUUUCUUUCAGUUAUGUAUAAAAAUGUAUAAUAAUAAUUUUAUUGGUUUUGGUUGACAAACAUAAUUAUAUUAAUAUGUAGUUUAGGUAUCAUUCCGAUACGAGAGUAAUUUGCCUAAAUUACGUGAUCGUUGAGCUAAUUUCUCAACUAAAAGGUAAGUGUUUUCAGUAGAGUGUUUACGAAUUUUGAGAUAAAUAAAUAAAAUAAAACAAGAGAAGAGAGAGAUGGACAUAAACUGAUUAAAGUUAAAGCCCCCUUCUCAUUUAACUGGAAAACAUCCAAUAGUUUCACAGCUCAAAACUCUAGUUUUCAGAAUUUGGAUUGCACCCACACUCACACAGACCUCAAUCGGCCUUUUGGUUCUUUAUUCAUUUUUAUUUACCUCCUCUGGACGUACAAUUUUAGGUGAAAUGUCAAUUUAGUCUUUGAAUUAUCACCUAAGUGAAAAUUAGGUUCCUAAAUUUUUUUUAAUAGAAAAAGCAGUCCGUAAAUUAUAAAAAUCUGCCAAUUAUAUCCCUAAUAUUGACACACCCUGUCCCGAAAGAGGGCAUGCUGGCCGUCACGUGAGAGUGACGUAACCAUUUACAUAGUUCGGAAGCUUUAAAAAUACAAUUACUAAGAUGAAACACCCGAGGGUGAGUCCUACUUUUGUGAACUCUGUCAGAAUACCGUUGGAUUCCUCGUGGCCACCAAAGCUCUGCUAUCUAGAACCUGGAGGGGUGCAAAACAAAAUUGAGUGGGUCAGUAAAACAAAGUUUUUCAAAAACAUUUCAUGUAAAACAUUUCUAACCCCUCGCUGUAAAACAUGUAUACUUUCCCAGAAAAUAACAUAAUAGCAUAUACCUUCAAAUAUCUCAAAUCAUCAAUCUUUAUCAAAACCAGAAAGUAUGCCAUGCCAUAAUGUCAAAAACAGAAUAUGGAUGCAUCAAUAUAACAGGUGAAAUAAGGAAUUAACCGAUUGGAUGUUUUUGAAAUUAUCACAUUGGAAAUGUGUGGUUUGGGUCGAAAUGGAAGACAAGUUAAAUCCUAAGUACAUCAGGCCGUCUUUGACUAUUGAAGGAAUCGGUGUUCUGACAUAAUUCACAAAAGUAAGACUCACCCUCGGGUGUUUCAUCUUUGUAAUUGUAUUUUUAAAGCUGCUAAACUGUGUAAAUGGUUACGUCACUCUCACGUGACGGCCAGCAUGCCCUCCUUCGAGACGGGGUGUGUCAAAUAUUAUAUUUAACGCUACUAUAUUCAAUUUUCCGUCAAUUUAAGUCAUAUUACUUGCAUGUGAUACACAUGGAAGGUUAGAUUUGUUGAUGCACAAAAUCAGCGAGGACUUUGGUACAACAGAAAGUGUCAGGUUUGUGACCUUCGCUUGGUUGCUUCGAUCACUAGUGAAGAUAAGUACGUAAAUGAAUAGGGACAGGGAAACAAACACAAGAUGUACGUGGUUCACCCAGAUCGGCUACGUCUACAGAGUAGAGGAGUUCUCAUUAAUUGUGAAGGGUUUACACAAAUACAUAGGUUCAAGCUCUCAUUUUGUGAGUUCUAGUGAAUAGUUUAAUACAAAAUGACAUUAGAGAUUAUUGUGGGAGAAUGAUCCCUAUUUAUAGAAGAGAGUUUCUAGCUUUGUUCUAACAUUGACACGUGUCGUGUUGUGAUUGGCUUCUGAUGUUGACACAUGUCGAGCUGUGAUUGACUUCUGAUGUCGACACGUGUCGCAUUGUGAUUGGCCUCCUGGUUGAAGGGAAGCUCUUCUGGGUCCUUGACGGUAUAACGUUGACCGGUGCUCAGUAGUUUCGGGAUUGGUCAAGUAUGGUACAAACAAGAUUGAUAAUUUUACAUAAAGAAAUGGUGUACAGAGUUAACUUUAUGGGGUAAAUUAGAUGUUAUAUUUGCUUAACUUUUGAGGGUAAAUUAAACAUUUAGAUGUUAGAUUUGCUUAACUUUGGAGGGUAAAUUAAACAUUAGAUUCGCAACCUAUAUGAAAUGUUAAUGGCUUAUAGACGAGAAAAUAACAAUAUUACAAUCUAAAGUGUGUCAAGUGACUUAAGUUGACAAAAAAUUAGAUAAAAUAACUUUGAAUAUAAUAGUAGAGAUGAAAUUAACAAAUUUUAAUGAAUUUAGGAACUUAUUUUACCCAAAAAAGAAUUCAAUGACCUAAUUUUCAUUGAGGUGAUAGUUUAGUGACUAAAUCGGCAUUUCAUCCUACAAUUUUUGUUAAUAAUAUUGUUGUGCCUUGUAAGUUAAAUUUUCAAUCCACAGAGAAACCUUCAAAUUACACACACAUAUAUAAUUCAAAUUUGCAUUGCAUCUAAUUAAAAAAAAAAAAGAAAAAUUAGAAAGCCGAAUAAUACCUUAUGGCAAUGUUGUAUAAAGGAGUAAAAAACUUUGAGACGGAAAAACUAUGUCUAGAAACAAUAGAAGAUGGUUAAAAGUGGCAUAAAAAAGGCUUAAUUACGACAUUAUGCCUCUUAAACUCAAACUCAUUCUCAUUUUGUAUCGUAAAACACUUUUUUUUUUCUCUCACUAGGCUCCAUAAAAAAUCGGUUAAAUCUUCUAAUGUGACACAAAGGAGAGAGGUAGUAUAUUCCUUUGUUGUCCCUUCCCUUCCUUCUGCCGUGGAAGAGCAGCCAUGGCUGCCAUCUCCCCCAUCGGCCACCCCUCAUUCUUCUUCCUUUGCCCACCCUUCCUUCUCCAUCCACCAUGGGAGAGUUGAUGGUUUCACCUACUGAUGGCAACCCAUUUUAAAAAAAAUCCAUAACCCACUUACAAAUACUUAAUACUACGGUCUAGUAGUAUUCCUCUUCAUUUGUAAAUGAGAGGUCUUAAGUUUAAUUCUCGUUAAAUGCAAAUUUGAACCACAUUAUUGUUAGCUCAUUUGGAGGCUUAGCUCACUCCCAAACCCCGUUAGUAUAGAUAACAUCAUUUGUUAAGAGCAAUUCCACCCAUGGAGCCCUUCCCCCUCACAAUCCACUAUUCAAUCCACCAUAUUAAACAGUAACUGCCUUAAAUGAAUAACAACUACCAUUAAUGAACAGUAAUUGCCAUUUACAUCUCCACCCUUGGAACCCUCCCCCAUGGCAAUAAGCAAUUAAAAUAAUAAUUUUUUUUGUUUGUUUAAAUAAUAAAAAACCUCUCUCUCUCUCUCUCUCUCUCUCUCUCUCUCUCUCUCUCUCUGACACAAAAAAAAUAAAAAAUUGCAAAGCCCUUGGGCCACAGACCCGUCGACUCCCCACCCCCCCUUCGCUCGGGCUCCCACCCUCACUCGGGCCCUUCCCCGCUGGAGCUGCUCCCACCGGCCCUCAGGCCCUUUCUCCUCCACUGUCGCCCGAGCAACCAGCAUCCGCUGGAGUUGCUCUAAGAAAAAAAAAAAAAAAAACCCCCACUUACAAGAUAUUCCUCCGUUAAUGAACCUUUUCCAAGAUCCCACCUUUUUUGUCCUCUCCCAUCCAAUUAUAAGCCAAAUAAAUGGCUUUGUCCUUCACCCACUUUACAAAAUUACUCCACUUCUUCCAUUUGGAGCAUUUUUACUUUAUCACUCAAUUCAAGGUUCAGACGACAAAAAUAAGGUUUAUAUAGUGAGACAUGUACUUCUAGGGGGUUAAGGGAGAAUAAGUAUAAUUCUCUUCCCUCUUAAUUUUCCCCUCUCUUCUCCUUUCAUACUGUCCUUUUUUGUCUUUACCUCUUUAUAAAAAUACUAAUAUAAAAUGCUGAUGCAGUUUAAUCAUAACUGUUUAAAUAGGAGGGGAGAACAAGGAGCGAGAGAUUAGGAAAAAUGAGUAUGAAGGGUAAAUGCUAAAUUCAUAAAUUUAUGCAUUUAGGUGUAUUGGACUCUACGAUCCUUGAUCCACCAAUUGGUGUCCCUCAGACCCAUCGAAGUUGAGCCCAUAAAACAAAUAAAAAGACCUAUCCAAGCCAACUAUAUUUCUGGCGGGAAAAUCAUCACAUCUUCGCGCCAAAAUCCGACCCACCAAGCAUAGCAACACUCUGCGCUGCCCAUACCAAACCCUCCAAACCCCAACACUCUCCCCUUCUCUCUCUCUCUCUCUCUCUCUCUCUAGCCAUGGCUUCCGAUUCUUCUCCGGCGGACUUCAACAACGGUAACCCCCUUCCUCUCUCUCUCUCUCUCUCUCUCUCUCUCUCUCUCUCUCUCUCUCUCUCUCUCUAUUUCUCUCGAACUUCGGUUGUUUUCAUGGGUCUGUAAAUCUCAUUUUCUUUUCCUUUUUUCUUUUUUGAUUUUGAUGUCAAAUCUCAACAGGGCCUUCUUCUCCUGAUGACUCCUUAUCGAGCCCAAUCGGCAACACCUUCUCCUCUCCGGCGGACGCCACCCACCGCAGGAGGCGUCGAUCCAUUACCCCCUCGGAAUUUGACACCCCGCGGGCCCAGCGGUCCCGGUUCGCCGCAUCCGAAACAACCCCAACGGGCACGCGCCGCGCCAACGGCCAUAGUGCUGGCCCUGCCCCGACCCCUUCCUCCACCGACGGUGAUGUCCCGCCAUCUUCUGAAGGCGGCGACGGGUAUGGCAUGGAUGAGGACCGACCCACAUUUGUCUGGGGCACGAAUAUCAGCGUGAACGACGUUAAGGUGGCGAUCGUUAGGUUUCUGAAGAAUUUUCGGGAUGAGUCGCAGUGGAAUACGGAGAGUGAGUACCUUACAGAAGGGAAGUACAUUGAGGCCAUCAAGAGAGUUAUUGAGAUGGAAGAUGAUUCGCUUGAUGUUGAUGCACGCAAUGUGUUUGAUUAUGAUUCCGACUUGUAUGCGAAGAUGGUCAGGUACCCACUCGAGGUUCUUGCGAUUUUUGAUAUUGUUUUGAUGGAAAUGCUGCCCAUCAUAAACCCGUUGUUUGAAAAGCACAUCCAAACUCGGAUUUAUAAUCUCAAAACAUCCACAUCGAUGAGAAAUCUCAACCCAUCUGGUUAGUUUUCAGCAUCCACUUGUAUUUGCAAUCCAAUUUUCUCUCUUUUGCUUUUGGGUUUUUGUUUGUUGUUGAUCAAUGUAAUGUGUAUAUGGAAAUAUGGACUGACUUGAGUAUAUCUACUACUAGACAUUGAGAGGAUGGUUUCGUUGAAGGGAAUGAUUAUUCGGUCUAGUUCAAUAAUACCAGAGAUAAGGGAAGCAAUAUUUCGAUGCCUCGUGUGUGGCUACUACUCCGACCCUCUUCCCGUAGAGAAAGGUAACCUUGUUGAGAUCACAUGCUUAUUUGCUUAAAUUUGAUUUAGAUUGAUUUCUCUAUUGUAUGCUGAAUUUUUGAGUGCUAUCAGGGAGAAUAUCUGAGCCUACAAUAUGCUUGAAGGAAGAGUGUCAAGCCAGGAAUUCCAUGACACUUGUUCAUAAUCGAUGCAGGUAAUCAAGUGUGAAUAUCUUUUGUUAAGUUGUUUAAUAUGUUUGUUCUGUGUAAUUUCACCUUUUGCAUCUCCAGGGGUCUCCUUUCUUUUUGCAGUUUUUCUUAAACAACUGAUGCAUUUGAGAUGUAUAUGAUUUUAAAGUUUUAGUGGAACAUGGACUCCUGUGUAAAAAUGGGCUUUUGAAUGCUAGCAAUAAAAGAUUGACACUAGAGUAAAAAUUUCAAGAGGCACAAUUGUUUUUAAACUGAAGCAAAGUUCUAAAGAGUGUGCUAGUCAUGAUUGUGGCUGAAAUGGGCAAACAAUCACAUCUAAAGCCUUUAUCCUAUAGGUUUAGACUUCAGAUCAAGUCAGUUAGAAAACAUUACGACUAUAUUCUGAAAAGUACAACCGAAAGGCGAAAUAGUGUGGAAUAAAACUUGUGAAAUAAACUGAUUUGAGAAAGUGACCUUUACAGUUUUCAGUUAGAGUUUUUCAAAGAAAUCACUUUAAUGGGUCCUGCUUUUUCAAUCAGGUUUACGGAUAAACAGAUUGUGAGGCUCCAGGAGACUCCGGAUGAGAUCCCUGAAGGAGGGACACCACAUACGGUGAGCUUGUUGAUGCAUGACAAACUGGUUGAUGCUGGAAAACCAGGAGACAGAAUUGAGGUAAGUCCAUAUAUUGUACCCCUUUGUAUGACCGUAAGAUACCUAUCUUGUUUGUUUAUCUUGAAUGUGUUCCUUUCCCGUAGGUUACUGGGAUAUACAGGGCUAUGACUGUUAGAGUUGGACCAACACAGAGAACUGUAAAAUCACUGUUCAAGGCACGUUUCUAUCUUUUUCUCUGUUAAAUUUCAAGAUCUUUUCAGUAAGGUGUUCUGGAUAUAAAUAUCCUUUUCUUUUGAUUGCAGACUUACAUUGAUUGUCUGCAUAUAAAAAAAUCUGAUAAGUCAAGAAUGCUGGCGGAGGAUCAAGUGGAAGUUGACAAUACCUUGGUUGGAAACUCAGAAGAGAUUCUUUUUGAUGAAAAAAAGGUAACCAAUGUAUACUAUCUUCUUCACUUGCAGUCACAUCAGACUUUGCUUGUAUUGUCUGUAUCAAUGAUAUCCUUGCUGAAAUUUCAGGUGGAACAAUUGAAAGAGCUGGCAAAACAGCCAGAUAUAUAUGAUCGAUUAACAAGGUCUUUAGCACCAAACAUCUGGGAGUUAGAUGAUGUAAAAAAAGGCCUUCUUUGCCAGGUGCUUUAAAUGCUUAAAUCGCUUAGCCGUUAAAUUAAUUAAGUAGUAGUGAGGCGUCUGUACGGAGUUGAGUCAGCUGUAGUUAAAAAAAAAGUUUCUCUUUCAUUAUUUUCAAAAUUGGUUCUUAUUUUUAAAUGGCCUAAAUGCAGCUUUUUGGUGGGAAUGCUUUGAAGCUUCCAUCUGGUGCUCGCUUUCGUGGUGAUAUUAAUAUUCUUCUUGUUGGUGAUCCUGGAACCAGCAAGUCCCAGCUGCUCCAGUACAUACACAAGUUAGCGCCUCGCGGAAUAUACACUAGUGGAAGAGGGAGUUCUGCCGUUGGAUUGACUGCUUAUGUUGCGAAAGAUCCCGAAACAGGGGAAACAGUAUGUUUUUGUUUAUUAAAAACUUUAUCUUAUGGUAUUUCAUGAAAACACAUGAAGUUGAGUGGAGGCAUUUUAUGACUCUUCAGGUUUUAGAGAGUGGAGCCUUAGUUUUGAGUGAUAGAGGCAUUUGCUGCAUUGACGAAUUUGACAAAAUGUCUGAUAGUGCAAGGAGCAUGCUACAUGAGGUUGGUUAUUCUUUCACUUUUUUUCUCAAAUAUGUGGGAGGAAUGUGCAUUUUUUCAAAUGCUUAUAAACUUAUCUUUUCUUUUUAAGUUUGGACACUUUGUCUUCGAAAUCAUGUUGAGUGAUAUGUGAAGAUCCAGAUUAGAUGCUUUCAAGUUUAAUAUGGCAAGUUUGUAGAUCCAAUCAUAUGCUUCAAAGUUUGACAUUCUAAUUUCUUCUUUUUAGCUAAUCAGAGACGCAAGAAUAGUAUGCCAGUAUGCUAAGUGGCAUUAAGUAUACUACGUAGUAUAUUAUCAGGGCUGUGUUCUAGUAUUCCUUUGUGCACAAUGCAACUAUUUUCCCAUUGAUGGCUUUAUUUCUAAAUAUACUCAUACUCCCCCAGGUGAUGGAACAGCAAACUGUUUCAAUAGCUAAGGCAGGAAUUAUUGCUUCCCUUAAUGCUAGGACUUCGGUCUUGGCUUGUGCAAAUCCAAGUGGUUCACGCUAUAACCCUCGCUUAUCAGUAAUUGACAACAUACACCUUCCUCCUACCUUAUUAUCCAGGUGAGAAGAUACACAUGACAUGCUUCUAGCACAGUAACAAGGCCUAAACUACGGCUUAACAAUGGUUUUGCAUACAUUCAUCUAAUUUAAAGACUUAUUGUUGUAAAGAAUGUCAAACUGGUUUUUUUGCAUACUUGUGAAAGUUAUCUAUUGUGGAAAUUGUUGUUAACUUUGGGUGUAAAGAAGACUUGAAAAAAAGAAUGUCAAACUUGUUUUCUUGCACAGUUUAUUCAAGGUCUCUAUUGUAAUGGUUUUGAGUUGCUCUCUGAUCAUUAGUUUUUCUCAGGUUUGAUCUGAUCUACUUACUCCUUGACAAGGCUGAUGAGCAUACAGACAGACGCCUCGCAAAGCAUAUUGUUGCAUUACACUUUGAGAAUCCUGAGGUCUGGUGAAUUAUGAUUUCUCUUAUCUAAGUACUAUGUUUUUUUUGGUAAAUAUUUAUAGGACUAGUUUUAGCACAUAUCUUGUCUAUCUUUAAAUUUCCAUGUCUCCAAUUGCAGAGUGUACAGCAGAAUGUCUUAGACAUUGCUACGUUGACUGCAUAUGUGGGCUAUGCCCGAAAGCAUAUUCACCCACAAUUAUCUGAUGAGGCUGCUGAAGAGUUGACUAGAGGUUAUGUUGAGUUGAGGAGGAGAGGAAAUUUUCCAGGCAGUAGCAAAAAGGUAAUUUACAUCAAUCUUAAUACAAGGUACUCUUCAUAUAUAUUCUAGGUCCAGAAAUUAUAGAAGAAUGUUCACAUAAUAUAUAGUUAUACACUUGUGACAAUAUUUUCAUACGAUGUAUCAUUUUUCCCUAUCAAGUGAAGAUUCAUUUUGCAAUUUCUUUAUUUCAUCUCUUUCUUUGAUGAAAAAUGUUUUUGUCUUUAUUUGCAGACUACAUUGAUUGGUGCUUUUGACCUAGAUCUUCAAAUAAAUUUGUCAAUUCUUGCAUCAAUCAAUCUGUGUUUUUUUUCGUUAAAUAAAAAGUGAAAGCUGGCAUGACCAUAUCAUAUUCAAUUAAUUGAUUAUUUGACAGGUGAUAACAGCAACACCCAGGCAGAUUGAGAGUUUGAUACGACUUAGUGAAGCUCUAGCUCGCAUCCGUUUCUCAGAAUCGGUUAGCAAAGAUUGCAUUGUAUCUUAACAGUUCACAAUAUAUUUAUCUGGAGUAAAAUUAAUAAAAUUAUGGCCUGAUGCGUGCAGGUUGAGAAGCAUGAUGUUAUUGAGGCAUUUCGGCUUCUGGAAGUUGCAAUGCAGCAAUCGGCAACUGAUCACUCCACCGGUAUUUACAGCAUUUGUGUCCACUUUUUCUUAAUUAUACGUUCCCUGAAGACAAACACAGCUUAACAUCAUGUUUUACUUGUGGUUUGUUCUUAAGGAACGAUCGACAUGGAUCUUAUCACCACUGGAAUUUCGGCAAGUGAAAGAAUGAGACGAGAAAGUCUCGUAUCAUCAGCUCGCAACAUAAUUAUGGAGAAGAUGCAACUUGGGGGACCCUCAAUGCGCUUGUUAGAGGUGUGCUUAUUUACAAGAUGUACAAACUAGAGUCAUGUAACUAUCUUAUAAACAUCAUCUUGAUGUGUUUAAUAUGUCCUGCAGCUGCUGGAGGAGCUGAAGCAGCAGAGCUCUGGCGGCGAACUCCAUCUCAAUGAUGUUAGUAUAUUGCUCUCUCUCUCUCUCUCUCUCUCUCUCUCUCUCUCUCUCUCAAUACAAACACAGAUUGGCAUGCUGAUGGCUAUGCUUUUGUUGGCAUUUCAGCUGAGGACUGCAAUUACGACACUAGCAACUGAGGGAUUUGUGGCUUUUGUUCACGGCGACAGUGUCAAAAGAAUAUGAUGAGAGAGGACAGAAGAAAUGAGUGACACUUGACAUUGGUUCUUUUUAGUUGCCACAAUUAAUUGAGACACCUCUAAACAACUGAAGAUAUAUCACACCAUAUUCAAGAGUUGUUUUUGCAGGUGAUUGUUGUGCGUGUAAAUUAUUUGGUAGUCUUUUUUGUUUGUUGGUCAAGUAGUUUAGUUGAACUACCUACCUAUCAAUAUAAUAUAACUAGUUCAUAACAAGCAGUUGACGAUACAGAAUUUGUAUUAUCGCCAACUAGCUUUUGGUCAUGUGUUAGUAGUCUUCACGUAGUUGGUUAAAGCCUCGUGUUCAUGAGGUGCGACAGUUGCAACAAUUUAUGUUUCGUGUGUAAAAUUGAAUUUAACUAAAAUUUGAGGUCACUCUGCUCAUCAUCGAUCGCGUUCUUGGUAAAUUGCAUUUUUGCUUCAUUGAUCCUUGGACUGAAAUUUCAGUUUUGUUGCAUGCUGAUGACUGUCAUGGGUUAAUUACUUUUCACUUUAAUUCCUUUCCAUAGUUAGUCUUAUCCCUCGUAGAAAUUUGUUAGGUGUAGGGCAGAGUGUGUAGCCACAAUUUGUUCUUGUAUUUUUAUGCUACAAGUGGGGUUAUUUCUUUGACUGAAAAGAGGGAAAUCAUUUUCGAUAAAAAAAAAUGGAAUAUGUUUGUACUUUUGUUUUUGUAAUUACUAGAAGACUUUUUUUUUUUUUAUCCAAAAGAAUUCUUGAAAUGGUAUAACUCUUCACUUUGAUUCUUGAUAAUGAAAAUCGAUAGACAUUGUUCCUGAGUUUGUCAUCUGUAAAUUAUUUUGGUUGUUUUGUAAAAAUAUGUCAAUAUCCUCGAUAAAUUGUCAUGUGAACGAUCACGUGACUACCUUUUUAGGUAUAUCAAUCCCUUUACUUAACGAAGAUAUUGAUAAAUUUUUUUUCUUCAGAAUAAUCAAAAUGAUUUACAACAGCAAAUUUAGAAACUAUUUUUAUCGAUUUUUAUUGUCAGAUACCAAAGUUAGGAAUUAUGCUAAUCUCACUAACCUUUUUGUUAAAGCCUUACUAGAAUGUUGCAAAAACUUCUUGAAACCAGGUCAUGGAGUCAAAACAAGAUUGCAAUCCUGGGAGUUAUUGAGGAUUGUAACAUUAGAUUGCAAUGCAUUGUAUGACGAUUAUCGCAAGAUAAAAAGCACUUGACCGAAACUCAUCAUACUAGACGUGCAUAUCAAAGGCAGCUUCUUCAUCUACGCUCUUGCUACUCGAGAAUUAUAACACUCACUUUAAGGAAGUGACACAACCUUGAUGGCGGUCAUCAAUCACUCCAACAACAACGAUGUUUGUAUAUUGUGUGUCUGUAAGGAGCAAUGUUGAUUGGAUACUGUGAAAGUGACUGGAGUUGUUUAGAAGAUGACAUGAGGAGUGCCUCGGGGUAUGCUUACUUAUUUGGAAAUGGAAUGUUCUCAUGGGCUUUUGUGAUGCAACAUUGUGUAGCUCUAUCAAAAGCUAAAGUGGAGUACAUUAGUGCAUCAGAGGCAACUGCUCAAGCCACUCGGCUUAGGUUUGUUUUGGAAAAAUUUUAGUGAGCUUCAAACUGAGGCAACUCCACUGAAAUAUGACGACACUUCCGCAAUUGCCAUCGCUAAUAAAAUCCUAUAUUUCACUAGAAAAACCAAGCAUAUCAACAGAAGGUACCAUCUCAUCAAAGAAGCAAUUCAAAAGGGUGUGGUUAGAUAAUAGACAUACUUACAAAAGCACUGGCAAAUGAUUAGUUCAACUAUCUCAGAGAGCUUGGUGAAAUCAGUUAAUAAUUUAAAGGGGAGUGUUGACCUAUAAAUUGGUGAUCUAAUUUUUUGUUUGAAUUAUAAAUUGGUGAUCUAAUUUUUUGUAUUACUAAGUCAAUUAUAAUGUUAAAAUUGGCUUUGUGCUCAUAUUGCCAGGUGGAUAUUUUUAAUUGUAUUUGUUUGUUAUGACUUAUAGGUCUAAGAAGAGCUAUAUCUUAAGCUUAUAAGUUGUAGGAUGGAUGGCUAGGAUUUCAUGAUGUAAAAGAGAAUCCUCCCUCAACUAUGUAACCUAACGAUAGCUGAGGUCGUAAGGUUUUUAGUCUUAUGAAUAAGAUUUGCAGAGUAACAUUCUUUUGAAUCGCAGUCUAUAUUCUUCCUCUAUAUCAUUCAACUCUGAUACAAUUUUGUUCUUGUUCAAAUAUACAAAUUACAAACAUACGUAUACACCACCAAAUUCUAACAAUACUAACUUGGCUAUUGAGAACUUUUGGCCGGUACCACACCGAUACUUUAGGAAUUUCACGAUUGUUUGUUCUCUUGUGUAGGUGACUGUUCUAGCACUUUCCUUCAUCUGCGGUGGUGCGGAAAUUUAAUUCAAACGCCAAUGCAAAUGUAAAUUUAAUGCAGUCACUCUUGAAAAUAAUUCAUUUAACACUACAGUUGAAUUAUUUCAUCACCAUCCAUAAAUUAUUCGCAGGCUAAUGACUUAAAACGUUGAUAUAGUUUCUUCAACACUAGUGUGGAAUUAUUUCAUCACUACCAAUGUAGCUAAGAUGUAAACUUGACACAUUCCUAAAGGUACACUUUUAUUGCAAUGGCAAUGCAUCGAUUCUUCGGGUUAUCAUUUGACGAUAACAUGCUUUUCGAGGCCAGGAAUGUGAGUUUUCAUAAUGUAGUCUUCCCAAUCAAUGCACCUGGGAUCAAAAUUAAAUUCUUUUGCGUCUAUGUAACUCUCAUUUGUCACCCUUCGCAGCUCCUCCGAAUUGGUGUCAUCAAAUCUACCAGGGAAAACAUGUUAAUCAUUAUCAUAAGAUUUAUGCAUAAUUACAAUUAACCAUAAAACUUAGUUUAAUCACCAAAUAAAGCAUACGUACAUGCCCUUGAAUAACAGAUAGGGUUUGUACAGCUCUACCAUGCGCAUUACCAAUUUGAGUUUUCGACUGUAAUUAGCAUAUAUAUCCUUGAAAUAUCGGCAUGAUGCCUUAUUUACGAACUUUAAUCCCUUCAAAGAUGCAAAGAAGAAUAUAUGAGAGGAAAACAAUAAAAAGAGAAGAAACAAAACAAGCACGUGCGAUAUCAAGAAUAACGAAACAUACUAUUAAAGGAACAUUAAGUACUUUAUAGUCCAUGUUUUUAGUUUUAUUACUAGCAAGGAAUAGGUUGAACAAACCUGCAGAGGUAUCAUGAAGCGAAUUUGCAUGUACAUGCGGAAAGAAGCCAUAGUCCUAAGCAUUCUAAACUUCGCAACCUUAAUAGGCUUUCCGUCCUUCGUCACCCAGGGAAAUUUGGUGAAGUAUCGAAAGCCAAUAUCGUGAAUAUCACAAAAUUUUACAGGGUUGCGAAAUGAAGAUCCCACAUGGUAAAUGAGAAUAGAAGAUUGAUUUGCAUUCACCACUAUCGCUGAAAUUAUUGAAUUUACCACCAUGUCAACAGGAAUCUGUGUAAUUUACAAUUCGAUCUUCAGUUAUACAUAUCUAAAAGAAAAAAAAAAAAUCACAAAUACAAUUGAACUUUAGGGUGUAAGCAAUUACCAAGUCGAAAAAAGAAAUUCAGCAAUAUUAUAUCCCCAAUUUGUACUUCAACAAAUAUUCCUUCUGUUGUAAACUUUCUAAUUUAAGCGUGAAUGUGUAAAUUCUAAAUUAGAUUUGAUUCUAAAAGCACUAAAAUUAUGACCCUUAUAAUAACAAGAAGUUUAGAAUGCUAUAUUAUGUACUUAGGGUGAAGUAUCAUUUGACCCUCUGAAUUAUCACUUUGUUGAAAAUUAACCCCCUAAACUAUUUGGUAAUUAACACUUAAAUUUUUAAAAUUUGCCAAUUGAUCCCCUGUCGUCUGAUUCUAUCCAUAAUUCUGUUAAAUUUAUGGGCAAACUAGUUUUCUCAUCAUUCAUUUCAACAUGUCAUCAUCGACCACUAAUAAAAAUAUGUCACAUGGAAAUUUGUAUUGUUUUAUUUUUUGGGUUAAUGUCAGUUUACUACCUUGAAGUUUCUUGGUUUUCAACAUUUGGUACAUCAAGUUUUUUCGUCCCAGUUUGAUACCUAAAGUCAUAAUUUUGGGACAGUUUCAUAUAUCCGUUAAGUUUUCUAUCAAAAACUUGGGUAAAAGACUGUUUACUACCCUCAUGUUUCAUGGUUUUCAACAUUUAGUACAUCAAGUUUUUUUCGUCUCAGAGUCAUACCUAAAGUGUAAAUUUUGGGACAAUCUCAUACAUCCGUUAGUCAAACUGUUAAAUUUGCGGUUAAUUGUGACGUGGCGCCCAUGUGGACAAUGACUGGGCGCCACGUGUCAACCACGUUUUUUUUUUUGUUUUUUCUUUCUUCUUUUCUUCUUCUUCUUCUUCUUCUUCUUCUUCUUCUUCUUCUUCUUCUUCUUCCACCCGACUGCAACAUUUUUUUUUUCCUUCCUCCUUCUCCUUUCUUCCCCUUCUUCUCCUUCUUCCUUCUCUUCCUCCGAAUCUGGGGAAGUUUUUUUUUUCUUUCUCCUUCUUCCUCCUUCUUCAUUCCUCUUCUUCUUCUUCUUCUUCUUCCUCCGAAUCUGCCCAGAUUCGGUUUUUUUUUUUUUUUUUUUUUUUUUGAGGAAGAUGAAGAAGAAGGAGGAAGGAGGAAGGAGGAAGGAAGAAGGAAGAAGGAAGAAGAAGAAGAAGAAGAAGAAGAAGGAGGAAGAAGAAGAAGGAAGGACAAAAAGAAAAGAAAAAAAGUUGCAGUCGGAGGAAGAAGAAGAAGAAAGAAGAAAAAAAAAAAAGCCGAAUCUGGGCAGAUUUGGAGGAAGAAGAAGAAGAAGAAGAAAAAGAAGGAGAAGGAGAAGAAGGGGAAGGAAGAAGGAAGAAGGAAGAAGGAGGAAGAAGAAGAAAGAAGGAAAAAAAAAAAAGAAUCUGGGUAGAUUCGGAGGAAGAAGAAGAAGAAGAAGAAGAAGAAGAAUGAAUAAGGAGGAAUGAGUAGGAAGAAGAAGGAAGAAGGAGAAGGAGAAGGAAGAAGAAGGAAGAAGGAGAAGAAGGGGAAGGAAGAAGGAGGAAGGAAGAAGGAGAAGGAGGAAGAAAAAAAAAAACAAAGUUUGUAGUCGGGUGGAAGAAGAAGAAGAAGAAGAAAGAAGAAAGAAGAAGAAGAAAGAGAAAAAAAAAAAUCCCCAGCUUCGGAGGAAGAAAAAGGAGAAGGAGAAGGAGAAGGAAGAAGAAGGAAGAAGAAGGAAGAAGGAGAAGAAGGGGAAGGAAGAAGGAGGAAGGAAGAAGGAGAAGGAGGAAGAAAAAAAAAGUUUGCAGUCGGGUGGAAGAAGAAGAAGAAGAAAGAGAAAAAAAAUAAAAAAUUCCCCAGAUUUGGAGGAAGAAAAAGGAGAAGGAGAAGGAGAAGGAGAAGGAAGAAGAAGGAAGAAGGAGAAGAAGGGGAAGGAAGAAGGAGGAAAGAAGAAGGAGAAGGAGGAAGAAAAAAAAAAAAAGUUUGCAGUCGGGUGGAAGAAGAAGAAGAAGAAGAAGAAGAAAGAAGAAAGAAGAAUAAAAAAAAAAAAAACGUGUCACAAAAAAAAAACGUGGCUGACACGUGGCGCCACGUCAUUGUCCACAUGGGCGCCACGUCACAAUUAACGGCAAAUUUAACAGUUUGACUAACGGAUGUAUGAGACUGUCCCAAAAUUUACACUUUAGGUAUGACUCUGAGACGAAAAAAACUUGAUGUACUAAAUGUUGAAAACCAUGAAACAUGAGGGUAGUAAACAGUCUUUUACCCCAAAAACUUCGUUAACUGAUGACGUGGCACCCACGUGGACAAUGACUAGGAGUCACGUGUCAAUAUGGACCCACGUAGAUAUUAAAAAAUAAAAUAAAAAAAAUUAAUUAAAAAAAAAUCUUGUGUGUUCCCUCUCAUUUUCCCCGCCAAUCCUAGAUUUUGGUCUCAAUUUUUCGAGAAUCCAAACAGGAAAUGAAGGACCCAAAUCCAAGAUUUCACCUUCUCGCAUCCUAAAGAUGCUACCCAAGUCCCCAACGUCUCUGUCGUGGAAGCUCGAGAGCUUAGCUACUAGCUUUCCCUAGGUUUGCAACGCCACCGUCAAGCAGACGAGGUCGAAAUAGACGACAGUAGGGAGGAUAAUGGUGGGGUCCGAUCGGAUGUUGGCAUUGAUUAGGUUCGGUUUCAUCUAUGUCGGAUUGGAAGGAGGCGUGGAGGGGGAUGGUGUCGCAUUCGGAGCGUGGGGAGUCGAAGAAAAGAGGAGGUUUGGGUGGGUGGGUGGGUGGAGUUGAAGAGGGAAGGGUGGAUGUGCAAGAAGUGAUGUGGAGAAAAUGGUUGAGUGGGUGCAAAUGAGAGAAAGGAGGGACGUGAAGUACGAGAUAGCCAAGAAUAAUUUUUUUAAUUAAUUUUUUUUUUUAAUUUUUAAGUUUUUAAAUUUUUUUUAAUAUCCACGUGGCUUAUAUUAACUCCGCCGUGUAAGUUUAUCUUACAUUGCCGGUCCCAAGCCCGGAUAAAGGAGGAGGGGGAGGGCGUCAGGUAGUCGACAGCCGGCACUCCAUGAUUACGUCGAAUCCUUAUGAAAAUGAAUCCAGAACGAAAUCGCGCUAAAGCUAGAGCGUCACCCGUAAGUGGCACGCUGUGUGGCCCGAGCACAGUGAUAAGUGAGCAAGGGUCGCUGUAUCUCCAUUGGCACCCGGAUGCAGUGUUAAAUGAGCAAGGGGGCUAUAGAAACUUCUUUUCGAACGACUCCACUCAAAGUUGUUUGGGAGCAUAUGCUCCUAUCAACUUUACACGGGACACACAAAAGAAGUACUUUGAUCCUAUUAGACGGGGAAGGGUGAAGAAGCUAGGACAGAAGGGUAGAGUUCAAGAGAGCAAAAUGCGUUUAGGAACGUGGAAUAUAGGAACCUUGACGGGAAAAUCUAUGGAAGUAGUAGAAGUUAUGGUAAGGAGAAGGAUAAAUAUUAUGUGCCUACAAGAAACUAAGUGGGUUGGGCGUAAGGCAAAUGAUCUAGAAAACUCAGGGUUUAAACUAUGGUAUUCGGGCACCAAUAGAACGAGAAACGGUGUUGGCAUCAUCGUGGACAAGACCUUGACACAAGAUGUUGUAGAUGUCAAGAGGGUAGGAGAUAGAAUCAUGGCAAUCAAGAUUGUAAUAGGACAAGAACUUAUCAAUGUGAUUAGUGCGUACGCACCUCAAGUAGGGUUGGAUACGAGUUCAAAGGAGAAAUUUUGAGAAGACCUUGGAGACUUGGUGCAAGGAAUUGCUCAGACGGAGAAGUUAUUUAUAGGAGGAGAUUUAAAUGGACACGUGGGCAGGGAGACAGGCAACUAUGGAGGUUUUCAUGGUGACCAUGGUUUUGGGGAGAGAAACGAGGAUGGGGAAGCUAUCUUGGAUUUUGCAAUGGCAUAUGAUCUCUUCUUAGCCAACACCUUCUUUAAGAAGAGAGAAGAACAUGUGAUCACCUACAAGAGUGGGUCGUCAAAAACACAAAUAGAUUUUCUUCUAAUGAGGAAAGAGGAUCGUAUAACUUGUAAGGAUUGCAAAGUUAUACCAGGAGAGAGCGUGACUAAUCAACAUCGCUUGUUGGUGAUGGCUGUACAUAUCAAAAGAGUGAGAAAAAAGAAGAAGACUUGGAAGUGCCCAAGGACUAGAUGGUGGAAUCUAAAAGAAGAAAAACAAGCCAUUUUCAAAGAGAAAAUAAUCACCCAGUGUGUGUGGGAUAGAGAGGGGGAAGCUAACCAAAUGUGGGAUUCCAUGGCUAGUUGUAUCCGAAAAGUAGCAAAAGAGGUAUUAGGAGAGUCCAAGGGCUUUGCCCCACACCAAAAGGAAUCUUGGUGGUGGAAUGAGGAGGUACAAACAAAGGUGAAGGCUAAGAAGGAAUGUUGUAAAGCCUUAUACAAGGAUAGGACCGAUGAAAAUGGUGAAAGGUAUAGAAAAGCGAAGCAAGAGGCGAAGAAAGCUGUGAGAGAAGCUAAGUUAGCGGCUUAUGACGAUAUGUAUAAGUGACUAGAUACCAAAGAAGGAGAGUUGGAUAUCUAUAAACUAGCUAGAGCAAGGGAAAAGAAGAUAAGGGACCUAAACCAAGUGAGGUGCAUCAAGGAUGAGGAUGGAAAGGUUCUUGCUACAGAGAACGCGGUUAAAGACAGAUGGAAAGGUUAUUUUCAUAAUCUUUUCAAUGAAGGACAUGAAAUGAGUGCUUCUUUAGGGGAGCUGAGUAACUCAGAAGAGUGUAAAAACUACUCUUUUUAUCGUAGAAUCCGGAAGGAAGAAGUGGUUGUAGUUUUGAAGAAGAUGAAGCAUAGAAAAGCAGUAGGCCCAGACGAUAUACCAAUCGAAGUGUGGAAAGUUUUGGGAGAGACAGGUAUAACAUGGCUCACUGACCUUUUCAAUAGGAUUUUGAAAACGAAGAAGAUGCCAAAUGAGUGGCGAACGAGCACUUUGGUGCCUAUCUACAAGAAUAAGGGCGAUGUACAAAAUUGCAUGAACUAUAGGGGUAUUAAGCUAAUGAGUCAUACAAUGAAGCUUUGGGAGAGAGUCAUUGAGCAUAGAUUGAGGCAAGAGACACGGGUUUCGGACAACCAAUUUGGGUUCAUGCCAGGGCGCUCAACCAUGGAGGCAAUCUAUCUCUUACGAAGAUUGAUGGAAAGAUAUAGAGAUGGGAAAAAGGAUUUACACAUGGUCUUUAUAGAUUUGGAAAAAGCGUAUGAUAGGGUCCCAAGAGACAUUCUUUGGAGGAUUUUUAGAGAAGAAAUGAGUACGAGUAGCAUAUAUCCAAGCUAUACAGGAUAUGUAUGAAGGAGCAAAGACUGCCGUAAGAACUCAUGAAGGACAAACCGAAAGCUUUCCCAUAACUGUAGGAUUACAUCAAGGCUCAUCCUUUAAGUCCUUACCUUUUUGCGUUGGUAAUGGAUGGAUGAGUUAACAGGACAUAUUCAAGAUGAUAUUCCUUGGUGUAUGCUUUUCGCAGACAAUAUAGUAUUGAUAGAUGAAACUCAGGAAGGGGUAAAUGCAAAGCUUAACCUUUGGAGAGAAGUGUUGGAAUCUAAAGGUCUUCGCCUAAGCCGAUCAAAGACAGAAUAUAUGGAGUGCAAGUUCAGUGCAAAUGGAGGCCAAAACGAGUUAGGGGUGAGGAUCGGAGAUCAAGAAAUACCAAAGAGCGACCGUUUUCGUUACCUAGGAUCUAUCUUGCAACAGAACGGAGAAUUAGAUGGAGAUCUCAACCAUAGAAUACAAGCUGGAUGAAUGAAGUGGAAGAGUGCAUCCGGCGUGUUGUGUGACCGCCGUAUGCCACUGAAGCUCAAGGAAAAAUUUUAUAGGACGGCAAUAAGGUCGGCGAUGCUGUAUGGCACAGAAUGUUGGGCGGUGAAGCAUCAACACGUACACAAAAUGGGUGUAGCGGAGAUGAGGAUGCUUCGUUGGAUGUGUGGGCACACGAGAAAGGAUAAGAUUAGGAAUGAGGAUAUCCGGGGUAAAGUAGGAGUAGCCAAAAUUGAAGGAAAGAUGAGAGAAAAUCGGUUACGGUGGUUUGGACAUGUGCAAAGAAGGCCUACUGACGCUCCGAUUAGAAGAUGCGACUAUGGGACAGAGGUUCAGGGCCGAAGGGGUAGAGGAAGACCUAGGAAAACUUUGAGAGAGACCCUAAGAAAAGACUUAGAGUACUUGGAUCUAACGGAGGACAUGACACAGGACAGAACACAAUGGCGUUCUAAGAUUCAUAUAGCCGAUCCCACUCAGUGACUUGGAUUUUCCAAGUCUCCAACCGAGAAGUUGUCCUCGCUCUCGGGAAAUUAAGGGAAGACUACCUCAACCUACAUGCUCCACUCACAAAGCUUCAACAAAAGAAAAUUCAAAGAACUUAGCGAAGAAGGCUUUGGUGAUUUAACACAAUACGUUGAAAUGAAGGAAAGCUUAUUUAUUGAUAUCCCCGAUAAGUUACAAAUAUGUACAUAUACUUGAGUCAAAAUAAACAAACAAGAGGGAGCCUUUACAAAGGUUACUUAGGAGAAGUCUCAGCAGUCGGUAGAGCCCCAGAAAGAGAAGGCACCGGAGGGGGAUCAUUCGGAGCCUCAGUACUGGACAGAACCCUAGAAGGAGGAGGCAUCAGAGGUUGAUCAUUUGGAGCUUCAUUACGCGCGGUACAGCCCCAGAGAGACGAAGGCAAUAAAUGCCUUUGGAACAAACCCACAAAUCUCUGAUGAUCAAGUAAAACCUGACCAUCAGAUUCCUUCAUCUGGUCAAGCUUCCUCUUCAUGUUUGUAGCAUAGUCAUAUGCGAGCCGGUGUAACUGUUUAUUCUCAUGCUUGAGCCCUCUAAUCUCCUGUUUGAGACUCAUCACUUCAGCCGCCAAUGAUUCAACUUGGCGGGUUCGAGCAAAUAGGCGUUGGGCCAUAUUAGACACAGAACCUACACACUGAACACUAAGAGCAAGAGAAUCCUUAACAGCCAACUCAUCAGAUCGUUUGGAAAGUAGUCUGUUAUCUUUGGGAGUGAGAAGGUUCCUGGCCACUACCGCAGCGGUCAUAUCAUUCUUCAUCACGGAAUCCCCAACGGUAAGAGGACCAGUAGGGGAGACGAAGGAUGGGCGCCAUAUGUUGUCUGGAGAAGGUGGGGCUGCCUCUUCAACAAGGUUCAAGUCAAAACGACGGUCGGAGGGGCCAGACAUUUUCAAAGGUGUUGAAGAGAGAAGAGGUCGGACAAAUCAAGAUCUUAGAAGUACAAGAAUGGAGCUUCUACUGGUGGAUAUUCAAGUGUGCUUUGGAACUUAAUGUCAGCCCCUAUAAAAAUCUGCACUCGACGAAGCUUCAGAAAUCGAAGAGGCGCCUGCUCAGAAAUCGAAGAGGCGUUUGCUUUCUUAAAAGCUGGGCUGCUCAGAGACCACGAGGGUUGAUCUCAGAAAUCGAAGAGGCGUUUGCUUUCUCCAAAGCUGGGCUGCUCAGAGACCACGAGGGCCGAUCUCAGAAAUCGAAGAGGUUUGCUUUCUCAAAAGCUGGGCUGCUCAGAGACCACGAGGGCCGAUCUCAGAAAUCGAAGAGGCACCUACUUUUCCAGCCUUGUCAGCACCUGUCACACGCACACUCAGCUUUGCGGAAAUUAUGGGCAUUCUGUCGAAGAUUUCUGGCGAAGUAGAAAGCACAUGAAUCGUACUGUUCAAUCACCCAAUUCCCACACGCAACAAUAGCUCAUGGGUACCACAUAUAACUUUGCCAAAGUUCUCUGACAAAGUUGAGACUACUUUUCCAGCCUUCUCAGCACUUGUCACACGCACACUCAGCUUUGCGGAAAUUAUGGGCAUUAUGUUGAAGAUUUCUGGCGAAGUAGAAAGCACAUGAAUCGUACUGUUCAAUCACCCACUUCCCACACGCAACAGUAGCUCAUAGGUACCACAUAUAACUUUGCCAAAGUUCUCUGACAAAGUUGAGACACUUGAAGAUUGCAACUCUCACUACAUCGCUCUGACCAAGAAGGGUAAAAGAAUAGCAAAGAAACAACACUAACAAAGUUUAGACACAUAAAUUUUGAAGGCCUAGCUACCAUAUUAUUACCCACAAGGGUAAAGGAACAGUACCACUGCUGAAUAAUUGGAAAGUCCCGGUGUGUCAACCUCUGUGCUUCGUGGCAAGGUAGACUAGCAAAUAUGCCCAACCUUUACUCACAUUCGAGAAAACACUCCCAACAAGAUUGCUUGCCCCAAAAUCGAAGAGGCAUUGCCCUCCGAAUCUCGAGAGCCAGACUCCCAACAUGAUUACUUUCUCAAAAAUCGAAGAGAGGGUAAAGGAACAGUGCCACUGCUGGAUAAUUGGAAAGUCCCUGUGUGUCAACCUCUGUGCUUCGUGGCAAGGUAGACUAGCAAACAUGCCCAACCUUUACUCACAUUCGAGAAAACACCCCAACAAGAUUGCUUGCUCCAAAAUCGAAGAGGCACCGCCCUCCGAAUCUCGAGAGCCAGACUUCUAACAUGAUUACUUUCUCAAAAAUCGAAGAGAGGGUAAAGGAACAGUACCACUGCUGGAUAAUUGGAA
rnacentral:lncRNA from 1 species